CAAACAUUUUGAGUGGCGCUAACAUGGUUCAUACGCCUACACAGCUGCGACUAACCUCAUAUUUCAGGUUGGAUGAUGUGUUUCUGUUCAGUCUUCAGCUCCUUGGUCACCGCUGUGAUAGGUAAGCUCACAUCUUUCUACACUUUCAACUCUGCAGCAGCUUUAACCUGCACUUAGCAUGCCGCUACAGCUAGCUGAUUUCUUCCAACUUUCCUCGAGGCAAACACAGAAAUGCUAUCUCAUGGUUGAGUCUGAAGAAAUGAAACAAACCACAGAGAAAGAAGAACAGUUUAUAGGACCAAGUUGAGCUGAUUUAUUUUCUGAUUUCUUCCACAUUUUGAAAAAUUCAUUGCCACCUUGCUUUAAACUACGGUGGCCCUGAUGGUCACAUGAAUGCAGAAAUAUUUCACCAAACACAAUUAUGUUCCAUAAAAUUUAGCAUAUACUGUUGAUAUUGAAAGAAAUGCAUAAAAACUUAAUAUAAUGAAAAGAGAGCAGUAACAAGCGAUAAGGUAGACUAGAGAGUUAAAGGGACAUUCUGACGUAAAAUUAAUUUACGUUAACCAAGUUAGGUGCUGUUCUGAGCAUUAUUUGUGGCUAUAGAGUGACGAUUUGGUUGAGGUUUGUUUAUGGCUCCUCAGACCGCUGUGUAUUGCUAUCAUGCGGUCGUUACUAAAGUUGGUAUAACUAGAGAAACAACCGAUCAGCAACAAUUAUCUCUUGAGGGGGUGUCCAACUCAGUGUUACGGUGUGUUUGACCCUAACUUAAUUUUACACCGGAAUAUCCCUUUAAAGAUUCCAGUUAAAAAUAGAAAAUGCAAAAACAUAUAAAAUAGGACAAAAGGUUCUCGGUGUGGCAGUAAAGAGAGGGUGUUAAAGAGAAGCUCCAUGCUUGACUCAACUUGAGUGACAGACCGUCUGCAGUUUGUCCCUCUACCACUAGAUGUGAGCAGUGAAACACUCUCGUUCCUCAUGCCUCUACAUGACAGUUCAUUCAGUCAUGCCCACUCAUUCACACAAACACACACACACACACACACACACACUCACAGAGCUUUUUACUUUGAGCUUGUGGUGACGAUUAUCAGUCUGAAAGUUUUUACAUAGAAAAUUGAAAGAAAAACCUUGGAAACUGUUGCAGAAUAGAGCAAAGAAAAGGUGAUGGAUCAAUAUCCAUUAUAUUUCAUGUAAACCUCUCUCCAUUAUAGACACGGCGCGCUCUGUGCUUCUUUUCUAUAUAUCGAUGUUUAUGUUUGUCCUACUUCUUCUCUGUGAACUACCAACUACCAUCACACAGCAUUGUCACUAAGUGCAGUUUUCUCUAUUGUUCCUCCAUCAUGUUUUCCUCAAGGGCUUCUGCAGAGUAUAAACCCCUGAAUGAAACCUGGUUUUUCCUGUUAAGCUGCUAAGAAAUGUAGAAAAAUGAAAUUCUUUUGAAAUCCAACAAUUUCAGAAGAUUCUGAAACUCAAAACUACAAAGGAAAUUUAACAUCCCACUUCAGUUUGUGCAUGGAGACAUUAAGAGAGAGAUGCAAAGUCAUGUGAAGUUGAUGUCUAAUUAGAGACAGACGAAUGAAUGAGAUCUUUUUUAAUCAUUCGGUGAGGGAGGUGUUGCUAGGAAAGGCGGACAUCUCUUAAUAAAUGUCAUCAGCAUUCGUGGCGCGUGUGAUAGGAUAGAUGAAGACGAGCUUGCAAACACAUGUAAGACAUGUGACGUAUAAGAGAAGGCGAUGCACAGAGAUUAUAUUAUGUCGUUAAAGCUCCCCCUCCACACCUGCCCUUCAGACUCUCGGCCAUUAUAUGACGGCUGUGCAGAGGUGAGAAACUUAACCUCUCUCUUCUUCUCAUUUCUGACACCACUACAUCUGUCCUUUCCAUAUCAACAGCUGAGCAAAACACUCACUUUCCUCACUUUCAGACCGACCUACGACCUUUAUUGAAAUGUCUGAUUCUCACUUUAAGCUCCUCUCUUCGUCUGCUGAGGCUUCAUUUACUAUAUUUGCAUUGCUAUUCAACUUCUGGCAUUCAAACUCUGGAGCAUGCACAGAAUGCUAAGGCCAGUUUCAGCUCAUUGAGCUGCAUACAUGGAAGAGAAAAUUGAUCCCCAACUGCAUUAUCGAAGUCUGUAGUGAGGCAGUAAGAAGUCGUUUUAGUGCAAUUUUAGUUGGAUUACAUGUUUUUUAAAAGUCCAGUUUCAGUCGGAUUGAAGGUGGGGUAGUCAGGAUCUGAGGAAGUGCCAGUUUUGGGGAGACAUCUUGAAUGUAAACUCUUCCCCUCCCAACCAGUUUUCCCCUCAGCUCCUCCUCUCCCCUCCGUCUCUGCUCCAGCAAGCCCCGCCCACAAACAGACGCUCCUGCUCGCCUCAGAUAUACCUCAGAUAAUUACAAAUGGGGCCCAGUCAACUGAAAGUAAAAAGCAUUGGUGCUACUGUAGAUGCCAACAGACUACCAGCAAACACAAUGUUUGCAGGACUUCUACAACUAGGAUAAAGUGACAUAGUACAGGACCCGAGGUCAACAGUUUAGCGGCGCUACAACACGCAGCAGGUCCUGUUUGACAAGAAACACUUCUGUUACAGACACUUGACUUACUUUGUUAAAGCGGUUUACCUGUCCAGCAGAAAGGUUACAGGGUUCUUAAGAUCCCGAAAUGUUCCCCAUCGUUUAUGCUAAUGUUGACCCGGCUUCUUAGCUCUUGUUGGGUCUACCUCCAUUUUAAGUGCCCAUUAUUCCACCAGAGUCUCCGGUAUUUACUUCCUUUUCUUGCUUGUAUUUUCCGUUCUUCCUGAUUGGUUUCUACUGUCCGAUGUUCUAGCACGCUAACUUUGUUUGGGCUCAUGAACGUUAUUGGAAGACGUGGAGCGUGCCUCACAAUACAACGGAGCAGCGUCUGCCUUACAACCAAUCAGGUUGGGGGCGGUGGAGAACAGCUUUGUUUACAUUCGGAAAGAGCGGAGUGCUCAAAAAUUUUAAAAUGUUGACUACACAGACAUAACAAAACAGCGAUAUCAUUAUAUUACCAAAUGUCAUCAAUAACUAAUAGCUAUUGACUGAUAUUAAAAGCUUUUUUGUGUAUACACCACAAAAAAAAAGAUGCUUCUUUAACGGAAUCCUGCCUACUCCACCUUUAGGGCAAUAAAUCAAGUUUUUUGACUGGCAUGUAAACAAACUGUCUCACCAUGAAUAUUUGAUGUUGGAAAAGUAAUUCAGGUUUUUUCCUCACGUCAAGAAAAAUAUACAAUAUAGAAAGUGUCGAUCCAGUUAUCUGCAGUCUCAUGUGGUUUAAUAACACACCAUAGAGAAACCGCGCCGUUCACUUCAGUCUGUUUUAUAAGCUAUCAAACAUUUCUCAAAGGAGCUUUUAAAGAUAGCCAGCCUGUUAGCGUGUGCGAAAUAUACACCUGAUGGCGAUCUGAAGCAGACAGAGGCAGUUUCUAUACAUGGCUGUAGGUUAAAGCCCCUUGUGUGUUUCAGCAGUAUAGAAAAUAUGUUAAACGCUCAGACAGCGAAGAGAGAGACUUCAUACAAUGAGAGAGACAGUGCAGAAAAGAGGAGACUGCUCUUACAGGUGCAUUCAAGACUGCUGGAAUUAUAAAGAGGAGAUAAUGAGCUGUGAUGGGAUUCUGCUGAAAGGAGACAAAAUCAUUGUAGCACAGUCUCUGAAACAGGAAGCGCUUGAUUGCAUCCAUCACAGUCACUUUGGGGCUGACAACUGAAGAAGAAACGCGUCUCUCUUAGUUCAAUGUCUGUGAGGGGAGCAGUUUGAGACGUUGAAUACACAAAGGAAGUACAGUUUAAAAGGACUGGAGUAGAUCUGAUUCUCAUAUAAACAUUUAAAUGUAACACGGCUGUGUAAAGGUCUGCCUUUGUUUGAGACCCUUCAGAGCUGCACCGGUCCAAAUAUCAGAGCUACACAAGAUGAUAAAUUAUGUUUGAUAUUUGUGAUGAAAGUGUUUCUGCCAUUAUCAGCAAGAACCAGGCAGCACGUUGCUUGUUUGUUUAACGUGAUCAACAGUGCAGCAAUUUUCAUCCUUGUAAGUUUCCAAGUAGAGAAAAAUGAGCCAAAAUAAAAAAAAAAGAGGUUUUUCAGACUUUCUCAGAGGUGAGAUUUCCUACCAAUGAAUCUCUGCAGUUUACUGUGAUUGUACAUCGAAAUUCAUAAUUUGUUAAGACAUGGUUUUGAGGGUCUGGUAGCUCUUCUGUCCUACUAGAAUAAAAGUUAAACAAGCUGCUUAGCUAACGGUUUACUGUGAUCAGGUUUGACAAUUCCAGUCAGCAUCAACCAGGAUGAUAAAGGGUGACAUCUAGUCUGAAUCCACUUUCCAAAUGGCCAAAUAGAAAGAUAGCGUAUCAGUGUCGGUAUCAGUAAGAUGGCGUCUCUCUCCGGGACACUGUUGGGAGAUUAGGGCCUGUGUCCACCUCAGGCAUUUUUUUCUUUGGUGCCUUCACAAAAACAGUAAAGUCAUAUAUUUUUAGCGCUCUGUGUCAUAAGCACAGAAAAGCCCUCGGCUGUUUUUGGUUCCUGUGCUCAUGUAGCUCUCAGUUAACAGUUCAACUCUGCUGUGCAAGUCAAAGUCACUUUCCACUUUUUUAACAUUUUCUAUGUUUACAUUUCCAUUGAGUGGAAAAUCACCAAGUAUAUCUUUCUAAAGUACAAAGCAUUCAAAACAAACUCGACAAAGAGCUUCAGCAUAUCUUUAAUAACCUGACGACACUGGAAAUAUUUACUCUUGAAAUGAGGUUGAAGGCACCACCAGCGCCAAAAUGCUGUUUGUGGAAACGGGUCCUGAAACAUUUCUGCUAAGCUCCGAAAUUAACAGAAUCUAUACUCUCUCAAUGAAUUUUGUAAAAUGUUUUAUUAACGUUGUUUUGUCUAAAUUGUUUUAAACAUUAUUGAAUUUAGCCCUGCUGGUUAGCAUGCUUAAUAAUCAUGAUAAUAGUUUGAUUAAUAGUAUUUAUUUAUUACUUUCUUGGCAUCUAUCGAACUUGUGGCUAAAGUUAAACACAUGAUGAGUCAAGCCAUUUUCUGUAGUUAGUACUUGGUUUUAGGGGUGUACUGAUACAACUUUUUUACUUCUGAUACGAUACCGAUAUUGUAGCCUUCAGUAUUGGCCGAUAUUGAUAUCGGUCAGAUAUUGGCACAAACUUGAGCAUGACAAGUUGCAACGUCUUUUUCGGACUUCAUCACUCCUACUCCUUGCUGCUUUGUUGGUACCUUUGCACACACUGUUGUUGCUAGAUUGAGUUGCUGGAGCGGAGUCUGGAAUGGACUGCUUGUAACGAAGUCCUGAUAUCGGAGAUUUUUUUUGCUGUUGAUAUUUGGUUGUUUGCUGAUAUUAGACCGAUAUCCAAUAUCAAUAUCGAAUUGGGACAUCCCUACUUACUUUUGUAUAAAUGUGAGGUUAAAUUUGAGUCUUUGCCCUUUAAAUUUAAAUCUUACUGUCUGAAUUAAAGUUCACUGUAAUCCCUCAGAAAUUUCCGACAUAUUCGUUUUUCGUCCAGAGUAAGUGGCCGGUAAAAAUUUCUUAUAAAUUUUGAAGGAUUUCCACAUACUUCACAAAGCCCACACUUCCUGACGUUUAAAAUGCCUCAUUCAUGCUAACAUCAACAUCUGCAGAUGGUCGUAAUCCCUAAAUUGCAUCUUUCACCUAUGAAAAAGACUGCAGCUACUAAAUGAAAGGCGUCUAAUAACAGACCAAAGCGGAGGAGAGCGCGAGCAGUCACCCAACCAGCCAACUACUCACUGACACACAGCUUGAAGAGAUUUUCUCUACAUGAGACAUUAUGUCAACAAGAAAGCCGGACUCCUGAGGAAGUGAAAAGAAGGACCGCUGAUCUUACAUAGGCCAGAGCAACCUCCAGAUGGGCCGGUCCACAGCACAGAAAAUCCCUUUUGAAAAUCAAUGAGCAGCAAAAAUCCAAGGAUAAGACUGAGAUCUCAAAUCAAAACAUGCUGGUAAUACAGGAGCAAAAUCCUAGACACGUCAUGCAGGAGGACAUGUGUGGUCCUGUGACUCAAACCCUGAGAGCAAAAACAAUCAUCUUUGGAGGACCCUAUCUCUAAGAAAGAGACACACUGUACUCCUAAUCGGGAAAAACCAUUAACAGAACAACAUGAACAUCAUUAAGUUUGUCUCUUAAAACCAUUAACCGAAUCUGUGUUUUCCAUCCCAUGUUAUCGCACGUCUACGAAUAAGUUCUUAUGUUGUGGCAAUCAUGUUUGCACGAUGACUAAACUUUGGUCCAUCGUUGUUUAUUUUUGGAUCUUGUUUUCUGUGUACCCGUUUAAUGCCGCCCCCCCAGUGAGCUGAGAACGGAUCUUGUCAGAAUAUCUACAGAUCCGGGUGUCUGUGCACACAGCAGGACGCUGUUUGGUGUUAAAGUGCUAUGAGCACAAGUGUGGUUACCAUAGACCAGGGGUCGGCAACCUUAAACACUCAAAGAGCCACUUGGACCAGUUUCCCACAGAAAAGAAAACACAGGGAGCCGCAAAACCUCUUUGACAUCUAAAAUGAAGAUAACAUUGCAUAUAUCUUUUUUUUUUUUUACCUUUAUACAAAGUAUAUAAAAAACUGUAGCGAGUUGCAUUUAUGAAAUAAAUGAACUAUUUCAGCGAGUGUCUGUCUUCUUCUGUAGUUAAACUGCAAGAUAUCAAAAUCUACCCGGAUACAGCAAUGCUGCUUUUUGAUUGGCUGUUCAGUAGAUAUACUUUAUUUGAUUGGCUUGUGCGUGGCACGCAGCUUCUGAACUCUCGGAGGAACUCAGUUGAUUUCCCCCAGUUCCAUAGUUGAAGAAGUGCAACUUGGUGGACAUCACCGUGUUCAUUUAAAUGCGUGAGAAAUACAAUGUGUGGUGUGUGAGUGUGUGAACGAGUGGGAGUGCGUGUGUCAUACGCUGAAUGCGUGAGACUUGAGAGCCCUGUGCUCACGCAUCAUCGAUGUACUCCCGAGCCAUGCAAAACGGUCUUUGCAAAUGUUGCACUGAACGCCUUCCUUUUCAGUCUUGGUGAAGUUUUCCCACACCACUGAUGUUUUAGGUCGGGAUUUGGGUUGGGUUGUGUCCAUGUUUUUCUCAGCCGCUGCCUCGGCCAUGGCUGUUUCUUUUCUGUGCGUCCUGCUGAUGUUUACACGCCGGUGUCCAUGGACAUAUAUAAAGACCCGACGAAUCGAUUACAGAAUUUGUUGGCAACGGAUUUUUUCGUCACGACGAAUCUACUUAAUCGAUUCGUUGUUACAGCCUUAAUAGUUUAUUUAAUGUUACAAGAGCAUUAUAAUCUUUGAAUUUAGAAUUACACCAAAAAAAAUAAUAAUAAUAAAAUAAAAUAAAAUGCAAUUAAGUAUUUAUCAUUUAUUUUCCAAAUCCAUUGGGAGCCGCAGCUUAGGGAAGAAAGAGCCGCAUGCGGCUCCAGAGCCGCGGGUUGCCGACCCCUGCCAUAGACGGUCAAAACGCCAGUGGCAUCACCCAUUUGUUUCUGAUGUGGACUUUUGAAGCCAGUUGAUGGCGGUCAUCCUAUUGGAAAUUAGAAAUGCUGACUCAACCUAACCCCCAAUUUUCACUGCAUCCAGAAUGGCUUCGAUCUGGAACGGCAGCGGUUUUCGCCGUCCGUCAAUUACUAUUACUGAGGCUAUUUCCUGCUACAGCAAGCUCAUCACAGUUUCACAUGGACAUCACACGCAUGGGACUUCAGAGAGUGUAGGGAUAUAGACAUGUGAACGAGGUUCAGGUGAGCGUUUGAGGUAAAAACAGAGCAAAAUUGGCUUUCUCAUAAACUGGGGAGCCACAAGAUGUGAGAGGAUGCGUGUGACACUGGUACCGCUGUGUAACAAGUAAUGCCUCUUUUGUGUCAGAUUCCCCCCAGUGGGACGGCAGUAUUGUGGUGGUGUUUGGCUCAGUGUAAAAACAAGAGGGGAGUACAUCAUUGUACAAAAAGGGCUUUUACCUAACACCGACAUUUACAGGUCAGCUGGCAGCAAAGAUAACAUAAUGAGGAUUCAUUUUCCUCGCUCUGUGCUUAUCUUCAGUUGAUCGAAAUUAAUCUGCAGAUGCUCCGGUCCAGAAUCAGACCUUCCCAUCACACUUUGGUUAUAAAAUCUGCAUGCUGUCUCCCCUUUAGUCCCCUCAUGGCAUGUGCUCAUUGGACCACUGGAUACGCUGGAUGCCCCUCUGCACAUUAAGUAAGGGCUUUACUUACCGCCCACAUGCAUCCCAAACACACUCAGGGGAAGAUGUGCAGCAUUGCAUCUUUUUAAAAUCGUUUUUCCAACAUGUUUUGAUUUUGCUGACGUUAGCAGAAGCCUGUGGAAGAGCAUCAGAGCCAGGGAUGAGGAGAAAAGCUGAAGUUUUGAGAGUAAAGUUGAGAAACGCUUCCAUGAAUAAAGUCAAUAUGUUGAGAGGAAAAGUCAAAACCAUUACCAAACACGGACGCUCAGCUGAGGGUGUAUAGGCUACUUCAAAUCCUGAACAAAAUCUUCAAAGUCCCCAUCACAUUGUAGACUAAUCUGUUAAAGGGACAUUGCAAAGAAUUGAACAGCAUUUUUUCUCAGUUAAGAGUCCACCAUGAUGCGACAUUGUGCCAAUAACUUGUACACUUAUUAUCUGACAGCAACACGUUGUCCUUUAAAUGAUCACAAUACUCAGAGUUAGCAAAUGAUUAGCCACAUAACACAGUUUCGAAGCGUCUCAGUUUUUUGGUGCUGAGGGGCUAAAACAUUAGAGACACUUUUAAGAGACAUUUCAUGAUCCUCAUUUUAGCACAGGCAGCUGGCUGCUCACCGUAAACCAAAACUACAACUCUAUCACAACUUUAUUCACGUAGUAAUAUGACUUUACUACGACUUUAUUUUUGUCAUGAUACGACUCUUAAAAUUAAGAAUUGGUUUACUUUAGGCAUAAACUUUGACUUUACUGCAUAUUUACUAUCAUAAAUUGGCCAUAAAAUCUUAAUUUUUCAAUGUGGCCCUGGUACUCCUUGAAUGUAAGACAUGCUAGCUUUGUUUAGCGUUACUUCGCUAAUGUUAGCUUGUGUAGAAAACAAUAAAAAACUCAUGAAUACUUUCUCAGUACUGAGCUAUAAACUACAUAACUAAAACCAUCAACACCAAUGGACUGUAUAUAAAAUGGACAGCACCCUCUGGUGACAGGCUGCAGUAUAGGUCAUAAAUCCCACCUCCUCCAGCCAUCCUCAUGGAGCUGUGAACAAACUCCUGAAACCAACAUUGCACAGUAGCAUUGUACGCACUCCACCACUUGCGCAGUAGCGUUGUACACAUUUGGCGGGAGAGUCAUUGAGAGUCACUGUGAUAGCGACACACGGCGACUCUGCUGCCGAAUGUGCACAACGCUUCUGCGCAAUGUUGGUUUCAGGAAGUGGAGAGAAAACACGGAAUUACGGAGAGCUUUUUGGCUUCAAAUCUGUACACUGGCGGAAGGCGGGACCAAGUUUUCUAUAGUAUAUACAGUCUAUGUCACCACCUCAUCACUUGAGUCACUUGCGUGUGUUGUAGGCGGUGUUGUCUUUGUUGCAUACAUGGCGUUUGAUUCUCAGAGACCCGGUGUAAUGAAAAAAAAAACACAUUUUCUCAUCUGUUUCCUCAUCCUUUCCCCUAAAAGUCCUCCAUUGACACCAUGAAUGAACAUUCAUAUCUCAGUUUCUCAUUCUUUGAAUGACACAACCCCCUGGAGAUCAUUUUAACACCCACAAACAACAAACACAUUGUCAUAUGUAGCAGCUCUCUCGUAUUUAGCCCACUAUCACAGCAGGAGGGUGUUUAAUGAACGCACACAAACCCAGCAUGUAAAGAGGAGAAGAUUGUUUGAAACUGCAGGGUUGAAAAGUUAUGUUUCGUUGCUGAAAAUGUGAGUUUGUUUCCCCUUUUCUAUAAAUAUCCUCCCUCUCCUCAUUCUCCCUUGUCUCCCUCCGCUGCGUGGUGUCGGUACCGGCAGCAGCAGCAGCAGCAGUGGUGUGGGUCGUGUCUGACGCUCGAGCUGCCUGUCACGGAGAAACAGAGUUGCACGUGCGGCGGACUCACGUGCGGUUUCGGUGGCAGACAGAAGCUCACGCUCACUGCAAGAGAGUCAUCGUGGGCUAAAAAUAGCGCGCCGGCGGAGGAGGGAGAGGAGUGUGAGGAGACUACAGCGGGGAGAAAUAGAAACUUGGGGGAUAUUUUUACCUCCCGUGCGUCCCUCUGCUGCAUCCCAGGCGUGACUUCUCCCCCCUCAAAAACCUCCCUGUCUUCUUUAUUAUUCCGUCUAUCUUCGUCUGCCUGCACCUUCCGUGACCUUUAAACUCUUGCUUGUUUGAUUUGGGUGUUUUUUUUUUAAGAAGUUCACUGAGACUCAAGGCUGUAUAAAGUUGAACAUGUUGUUUGGCUCGUUAUCACGCCCACACACACAGCAACACUAUUGCGCAGGUUACCGGAGAAGUUCAACUUUUUUGGACAUAUCACGCAGAGAGAUGAUGAUGUAGUUAUAAAGGGUUGAAUCCUGUUUCAAGGACCGAAAAAUAUGUAACCCCAGCAUCCCAGACUUACUGCACUGUUACCAUAGCAACCAUGAAUUCCCUAUCAGCCUGCACGUGCACAGACUUGGUCAUUCAUCCUCUUUUUUUCCCAUUCAUCCAUUUGAAAAACCGAUUCAUUCACUCAUUUAGACACUCAUUGACACACUCAGUCCUCUACCUUCUUCCUCUUUGUGUUUUGUCCUCAAAUAUUGAUAUUUUUGGUCGUUUGACGCAGUUUACAACAUUUUAUACGCAGUCCGGAACAACAGCCCUCUGAUGUAUUGUUGAUUAAUGGGCAAAGGUCUCUAUGGAAACAGAAAACAUUUAAAUAUUAGAUGACUUGACGUAAAUGUGUGCGAAGAAGCAGUUGCAGAACAAAACAUUGACAUCAUUUACGAAGGUAAUGGUCUCCACUUCAGUAUAAGUCCUUGUUAUUCGCUGUAUUGGCAACGAAAUGAACUGAAGGAAUCAAAUACAGCAGGAUGGACACAAGCCUGAUCAUCAUAUAUCUGCAGUAAUGAAAUAUUGUUUGAUUAUUAAUAUGUAAUAAAAAGCCAUUAAAAAUACUUCAUUAAAAGUAGAUGUCAUCUUGGGGUAGACAGGUAUCUGUUAAAGAAGCAUCUAUUUUUGUGGUGUAUAUACAAAAAAGCUUUUAAUAUCACUCAAUAUUGAUGACAUUUGGUAAUAUAACAAUAUUGCUGUGUUCUCUUAUGUCUAUGUAGUCAACAUUUUAAAAUUUCCACGUCCUCGAAUAAUGUCCACUAGCCCAAACAAAGUUAGCGUGCUACAACAUCAGACAGUAGAAUCCAACCAGAAAGUACAGAAAAUUGUCUGGAUCCUCUUUUGGUCACAACUGCCGACACAAGCAAGAAAACAAAGUAAAUACCGGAGACUUUGGUGGAAUAACGGGCGCUUAAAAAGGAGGUAGAACGUACAAGAGCUAAGAAGCCGGGUCAACAUAGAUGAAGCUAGCAUAAAUGAUGGGGGAAGCUUCGGGAUCUUACGGACACUGUAACCUUCCUGCUGGACAGGUAAACUGCUUUAACAAAGUAAGACAAGUGUCUGUAACAGAAGUGUUUCUUGUCAAACGCGACCUGCUGCAUGUUGUAGUGCCGCCAAACUGUUAACCUUGGGUCCUGGAGGCGAUACCUGUUUUUUGUGGAGUGGUAGGGGAAGGUCCCGCCUCCUUCGCCUCUGAUUGGCUAGAAAAGCUGGAAACGUCAUCACACGCUCAAGCCAGCGCAGGCCGUCGGCUCUGUACAUUGAACAGAGCAUUCAGAACAUUAUCGCAUAACUGAAUCUCCUAACUCUAAUAACUCUAACCCUAAUCCUAACUCUUAAGGUCCUUUCACAACGGAACCGUUUUUUUCGUGCGAUUAUUUUGGACGUCAAUAUUUUCCUCGAACCCGUAUCCCGUCAAUACAAGCGUUUUUUACAAGCAACAUUUCCCUGAUCUGCGAUAUUGCGGCAUUUAUUUUUCCAAAUCAUGGUCGAUUUUUCUGAAGUUUCGCAUACUAUGUGUCCACUUGUGACCAAUCAGAUUGCGUGUUGUUGCGACGUCAGAUUCACCAGUAUAUCCAACAUGGACGACCGGCUGAUUGUUUACGUGUUUACAUUCAUGAUUUCUCCCAAAAACUGGCACUUCCUCAGAUCCUGCCUAUUUCACCUUUAACUGAGUCUGAGCAACUAAAUGUUCUCACCAAAAAUACAAAUAUAUCGAUUUUCAACUCAUCUUAGAAAUAGUUAAUACUUUACUAUGAAUGAAUUUGCAGGUUUUUCGAUGGUCAUGCUGGAGGUGGUUUGACUGCAUCGUGAUGUUUGCUUUUAACAACAAUGGAUCUUUUCUGGAGUUUAUACCCACUGAGCAUUUUUUGGUCUGAAAGAGGUCUAAUAGAUGUCUAAAUGUAGCCUAGAUGACUGGUCUAAAAUCAGGCUACCACAGGUUUUUUAUGCGUGGAACUUAAGACCAAGUUUAGACCAAGUCGAAAUCUUGGCUAUAUCUGUACUACACUGUAUAUUGCUCAAUGGCUAUCAUAAUUAUUUUGGUGAAGUACUUGGAGCUCAGUUAUGCAACUCACAGUUGCUUUUUGAAAUAAAUAGUUAUCGAAUAAGGAGUUAGAGUGCAACGUCUAAAUUCUGUCUAAAAAUAUACAGAAUCUAGACGAUAAAAUUAGGUCUAAAAAGAACCUAGACGUCUAAUAGCCGUCUGUUGCUCAGUGGGUAGCCUACUGGUCAUAUCUUGUGUCCAGUUUUAAAGCCCCUGUGUUCAGUUUUUUAGGUGUUAAUCAAACAGACUUAAAUUAAAAGUGGAGCCUCUGUAUGACACAAAAGCACAAAAGCACAAAAGCACAAAAGCGUAGAUGUCAGACCAAGAAACUGAGAGCACAUUUAAGUGACAGACUCUUUUAAAUUUGUGAAAUUUGAUUUUGUGAUUUUAAGUAACAUGUCAAAUUUAAUUAGUUGGGUAAAUUAAGUUUUUGUUAGUGCUAUUAAUCUGCGUGGUAUGUCUGAGAGAACCUCCAAAUUUAAUUUAAGACUUCUGUAAUCAUAAUAUGAGGUCAUGCAGUUCAGGGAUUGCUCUUUUCAGCUCCUGUGAGGAGUUUUUUGACAUCUGAGAAAUGGACUGAUGUUCAUAUUGAUGUCCUUUCAUGAUGUCUGACAAUGUAAUGUCUAGUGCAAACAAACGUAACUUAAUAAGAGAAAAGCUCAGAAAAAUACAGAGUGAAAUAUUGAAAUGUUAUUUAUUUUCAGUUAUUAAUUCGUCAGACGGACAGAGAACUGCAGCAGUCUUGGUGUAAAAAUGAGCCUUUUCUUCAAGGUAGUUUAAAAAUACAGAAUUAAUGAAGUAAAUUGGAUUAAAUUGUUUUCAAUUCUUCCUCACUCCUUGUACAUUUUCUUUUCCAGUGGAAACGAAGGCGCUGCCAGUCAUAAAUGUUGAAUAUGGUAAUAAGAUUGCAGGAAUGUUUGGGUGGAAGAAAAGAAAAGAUGUGACUGUGAUUCGCUCAUAACCUCACUUACAAAUCAGCUUUUCCCCCUCUGAUGAUCUGCCAACACGUCUUCAUAACAACAAUGUGCUGCCAAUCCCCACAGAGUGGUUAAACAAGUCUGCAUGCACACACCCACAGAAGGAGCUAAGUGGCAUUAUUUCCUACAAAAUAAUAAUCAGACCUUCCUUUUUGGGGGUUUUGAUGACAUUUUCUGUAGCAGUCCAUCUGCGGUUCCAGGGCAUGAGGGAGUAUUUUCUUUCCUGUUGAAAUCUCCUCCUCAGCUGUGCAUGCUGACAGAGGCAGAGAUUGAGGAGAUUUAAUGUACGCUUCAGAGUAGCGUGGGGGGAAAAAACAACAUGGGAAUAACGGGUGGGAGAUAUGCGGACAAGCGGUAAUCACUGCAAUUAUUAUUAUCAAAAUCACUGCUUUUGAUUUCACUUGGCAGCAUAGUCCUCGCUCUGCAUGUGAGAGCGAUGGAGGUACUCUACUCUUCUAUUACCCCCCCCCUCCUUCAGCUGGACAUUAACCCUUAAUCCGUCACCAUAAUGCCUGAAGCCAAGACCAUCCACUCUCCCCAAGUAUAAUAGAUCUCUCCUUUUGCCAAACCCCGAAUCCCCUCCUUUACUUUUUUAGUUUACGCCCCACUCUUCAUCUUUCUCCCUUCAUUCCUUGUCACAUUCACUCUGACUCCUUAAAUCCUGCAUUUUCAGUCCCCCUCCCCAUUUGUCCCCACGUUCGGUUUCCUUUCAAUUAUCUCCUCCUCCAGCGUCUCAUAUCUCCUCGCCUCAUCCCUCCAGAUCAGGUAGCUUAACCGUUCCCUGUCACUCAUGGAGCAGCUCCAGUUUAAGGACACACUAUUAAUAAAAAAACUGAAAGGAAAACUGUCAGGGGGGAAAAUUUAAAUAUUAUUUCAGUAUCAAUCAAAACGAGCAAAUUGUUCAGAUGGGACUCAGCCAACAUGGAAGACUGAAUGAUCAUAUUUGAUGCAAGUAUUUUUGAGGGAGUGUUUCAGCAAAAAGAAGCUCGAGCGCGGUUAGCAUUUUGACCCUCAAAGCAACAGAUGAAGGUUAAGGCUUUAAAACACAGUGAUGACGAUCUCACUUUAAAAAAAGGACUCAAAGAUAAAUUUCAAGCGCAGCGCCUCAGUGAUAAAACAAUUAAUAUGCAAAAUACAGUUUAAUCAGAAGUUAAUGAAAAUAUGGUGUUAAAGCUGCAUAUUGUUCACAGUUUGGUGAAGUUUUGGUUCGGUUUACUCUUGCUGAUAUAUGCAAGGUCCUCUUUAAAAAGGUAUUGUCUGGAUAGAGGCAUUUGUUGCUUUAAAACCUGUGUCGUCCAGCAUCAAUGUUGCCUAUCAGGAUCAGUAAGCAACCCACUUCACUCAAGUCCAUCUUCAAGGGUCUCAGGUUCAGAGAAGGCACUUCGGUUUCAGGACCAUGUUUGCUCUUUGCAUGACAAAGUUUUAACCUGCAUUUUUAUAGAUGGCGCUCAGUCUUUGGUUAUUUCAAACCCAAGCAGUGAUUUCCACUACAGAGUCAUGUCUGUUGCUUCAGUUUCUCGGGACUCUUUAAUGAUCUCAUCUAAAGUCGAUGAUGAAAUCCCCCAAACUCUCUGUAAUGUCUUUGAAUUUUACGUGAUUAUUGUUGAAGAAUUUCUUAUCAUCUGUACUCGACUGACUGGGGCGCCCGUUUUUACACCCCAUCUGAUUACUAGCCUGGGGAAUUAACCCACACUGGUUGGGGGGGAUUUGUGAUUGUGGAUUGUGAUGAUGGUGAUGAUGAUGAUGAUGAUGAUGCUAAUGAUGGUGGUGGUGAUGAUGAUGAUGGUUAUGAUGGUGAUGAUGAUGAUGGUGAUGAUGGUGAUGAUGAUGAUGAUGAUGUUGUUAAUGAUGGUGAUUAUGAUGAUGAUGGUGAUCGUGAUGAUGAUGGUGACGAUGAUGAUGGUGAUGAUGAUGAUAGUGAUGAUGAUGAUGGUGGUGAUCAUGCUAAUGAUUAUGGUGAUGAUGAUGAUGAUGAUGAAAAUGAUGAUGGUGCUGAUGAUGAUGCGGAGGAGGAUGAUGAGGAUGCUGAUGAUGGUGGUGAUGAUGAUGAUGUUGAUGAUGAUGUUGAUAAUGAUGAUGGUUAUGAUGUUGAUGAUGAUGGUGAUGAUGAUGAUGAUGAUGAUGUUGAUAAUGAUGGUGAUUAUGAUGAUGAUGUGAUCAUGAUGAUGAUGUUGAUGAUGAUGAUGGUUAUGAUGUUGAUGAUGAUGGUGAUGAUGAUGAUGAUGAUGUUGAUAAUGAUGGUGAUUAUCAUUAUGAUGAUGAUGAUAAUGCUGAUGAUGGUGGUGAUCAUGAUGAUGAUGAUGGUGAUUAUGAUGAUGAGGAUGAGGAUGAUGAUAAUGCUGAUGAUGGUGGUGAUCAUGAUCAUGAUGAUGAUUAUGGUGAUGAUGAUGGUAAUGUUGAUGAUGAUGGUUAUGAUGAUGAUGAUGAUGAUGAUGAUGAUAAAGGCAGUGAUUGUGUUAGUUAGAUACAACACAAAUCAAUGACUCUGACUCCCACUCAACCCCACAGCUCCAUCACAACACCCACCUGUGUCCUCUGAAUCCACGUCACCCUUUAGGUUGACAUUAUAAUUGUCACUGCCCACUCCCUGCUGCGCUCUGCCUCAUGUUUCCUGCUGGCGAGUGACGGGGUCAGAGCCUCGCCUCUAUAUUCACUAUACCUUUACUCUACAUUCACUUAACACUCCAAUAAAUGUGUGAUCAGUUGCCGCCCCCGUAAGGUGGCAGUUCAUUUACUCGCUUUGCAGUCAGCCUGCUUGUCACUUUUUGUUUCGUCACUCUACCUCUGGAGAAUUCACCGCUUCUUGGUUGAAAUAAAGGGGAAGUGGCUGUUUUGUGUAGCUUGUCGCUUUCAGUUUGCUAACAUUUUAACAAGCUAGUUACACAAAAUGGAGCUUAAUGUUCUCUUUUUCAAGACACUCCAACAGUUGAGAGAUAAAUGGUGCCGACUGCUUGCUUCUCUAGUUAUAACAACUUUAGUAAUGACCACACUAAAAAAAUUGACCAAUGAUAAUCAAAGUAAAGUAAGGCGGUUAAACGCACAGUACAACCACUGACGAUCAGAUUUCAACCUAGCUUAAAUGUGGAUGUCCGUUAGCUCGCGUAAAACCACAAGUCCUCUCUGACAAUAGGUGACGGCCGAGCAGGCGACACAGCUGUGGCCUGUUGCUCACAUGGAACUGCCUCUGACAAUCGGAGGACAGAGCUAGGCAGGAGGGCCGAUGCCUCCAGCACCAGUCACAGAGGGAAGAGGAAAAAACCUGAUCCAAGAGGAUGUGUCUAGAGUCUGUGGAAGGGACAGGAUUUUAGUGUGUGGGAGAGAAAGAGAGAGAGAGAGAGUGAGGAGGGAAAAGGUUUGGGGGACCCUCCUGAAUCCCCUUGUCAAAAUAUGACCACAUUUUACUACAUACAGUGCGUACCACUUUGUCAAAGACUGAGGUGAGUCUGAGUACUGGGACCUUCAGUUUGGUGCCUGGUGAUAAUCCUCCCCACAUCUUGAGGUCCUUAUUGCUCCGUUGACAUUUCUUGUUCCUUGAUAGAGAAUUAUCACUCCUCCUCAGUGCUUCAUUCAUCUUUGCUGACCAGCUUAAUUGCCACAUUCAGAUCCCCCCCAUAGUACAGUCAUAAUUGGAUGAACAGCAGGACGCCGUCCAGAUAUCAUGGCUCUGUGUGAGGCAUUAACGCUCCAUAUGCUUAAAUAAUCUGAUGUGGACUACUUCUGCUGAAGAUAGCAUGACCACGUGAUGAUCACUGAACCAGGUUUGAUCACAAAGGGGAUCCUGUAGCAGAAAAUAAAGCUUUGAAUGUGGUGUGCCAAUAGUUUAUUUAAUUUUACAGAGUACUUAAUUAGGGCGACCAUAUUCUGAAUUACCAAAAAAAAAAGGGAGCAGUCCUGGAAUCGCACGUAGUUAAUUUGAGAGUCUUUCAUGUCGUGUUGAGUGUUAUUUACGCGCUUCUAACUCAGUAAGUCCAUGCGACACAAACUGAAAACUUCUUUACAAAACCCUGGACAUUUGAAGGAUUUUAUAAACUCCCCCAGACAAGGCUAGACAGCCCCCCAAAAGAGGACAUGUCCAGGUAAAAGAGUUCGUAUGGUCACCCUAAUUAAAUAGUACUAAUAGUCAGCCAUGCCCAUAAUUAUGCAAAUUUAUGCAUAACUCUUACCUUUCGUACCAUCUUAAUGGAUUUGUUAGAAAUUAUUCCUUCCUGAUACAGUUUGUACAAACAAAUAAGCGAGUUGAAAACUGCUCUUUUAACUGGGCUGUAAACAGAUUUAUUUCAGCUGUAUAAAAUUGGCAUUUUAACAAGAUACCUAAUGAUGAUUCCUUGUCUUUUGGAGCGAGCCUCAAGUGGACAUUUCAGGAACUGCAUGCCAGUUCAUACCAACACACUUAAACUAACCAUAUUUAUCUAUUUGCUUGUUUAUUUAAUUGGGGGAAUUCAUAAAGAAAUGUAUGUUUAUGCACAGAGGACUCAUUCUUGCCAUGCGUUGUCUAGUAUAUGCACACAAGAGUGAAAAAUCUGUCGUCGUUUCCUUUUCCAAACUCCAAUAAAAUAUAAAAUGCGUGUGUAAAUUGUGGAUUUAUUCCUUGUAUCAGCAGCUACCAUGUCAGAGCAGCGUUUGAAUCCUUCAUCCUCAGCAUAAAUGCUUCAAAUGAAGGUAAUUGAGGCUCUUAGUAGUGAUCCAGACCAUUAGGCUCAGCAGGAAUCGGCUAUUUCAGCUUCCAACGGCUCUUUGUUGUAUCGCUGUGGCGUACAAUGUCCAGCUUUCAGAGUGAAGUCCUUCAGGAAACGUCACAUACUCCGUGCAUCAGCAUAGAUAGACAGAUACUGCAAAUAACCAACAGUUUAUUUGACAUGGGAAAUCACGUCUAUUUGCAGUCUUAGAUUGUAGGCGCUGUGAAAUUUAUGUUGAGUGUAAAAAGGGGAUUUGGUUGUUUGCAUUCAGAUGUAGGUCACACCUGCCGACAAUGUACAGUAAACACUGUAAUGUGUGUUGAGCUGUUUGACUGUUUGCUUUGUGUACAUUGUGAGCAGGUGGCUUAAUCCAUAGAUUAAAUGUACAGUAUGUCCUUUGUUUUAAUGUCAGACAUCUCAAUAAGAACAUCUAUAUUGUCUCUCAGCAUCACUUUGAGGUCCUCCGAGUUUAUCAGGAACAGGAUAUUUUGCAUUUCUUUCAUAUUUUUUUAACCUCUAAAGUCACCAAGAGUCAAUUUUUACUGUUCUGUUGUCAUUUUUAUUCUACAUUUAAAAUUCUGCCCUCGCCCUCAGACACACACUUUAACCUCCUGUACCGUUUCCAAAACCUGGUGAUUAAUUUUUUUUUCCCUCUGACUCUUUCACUCUCUCUCUUCACCUAAUCUCUUUUAAUACAUACACACACAUACACGCAGAGAAAGAGUCCAACUUGCUGUUUGUGAGUUUUGACAUGCCCUCAUUCAUCUCCUUUGCCAGCUGACUGAAAUCACUUCCCCCGCGCUGCCGUUUUAAUCUGUUGUAUGCGAUUUUAAUCUAAUCUGUUCGCCUUUUAUGUGAAGGAGUGCACAGGGCAGCCAGAUGCUUUUUUUUCAUAGAUAAGUCCAUCAAAUGAUCACCCAUCAGUUGUCAUGUUGUGAUACAAUAAUAUCUUCUCUUCAGACAGUGCCACUCUCACAAAGUGGCGAACACCCACACUUAAAAAAAAAAAAGGACUUGAUGGAGCCCUAUUUCCCAAGAUGUUUUAAUGAGCUGUAUAAUUUUCUAUUUGUACAAUUACUUUCUAAUGACUUCCCUUUCUUCAUGUUGUGACAUUGCGAGAAAUAAGUGGAGUUUGUGGCCUCUUUUAUUAACCAGCAGCGACAAAAUGAAAUUUGAUUAACUUUUGAAAAACAAAAACGCUGUAUCAUUCAGGUACUUCCAGUUCCCUCCGUGAGAGGACACGCCAUUCAUCGGACAGGCGGAGGACGAGCACAGAAUAAAGUUAUAUUACACAGCACUCCAUCAAAAACAAAUGGUAGAUGUUUAAGAUAUUUAAUAUAAUCAGGUUUUUGUUGUAACACCUGGAAUCUUGAGCCAUGAUUGUUUUUUGCCUACUCAGCACUUUUAUUGAAUAAAUUACAUUCAAUUAACUCAAAAUUUUGGCUUCCUUAAUCACAAAAGUCCAACUCAGUUUGUGUGUCAAGAAAUCCGGAUUAAAGUACUGCCAUCAGCGGCUGACCAACAUCUUGAAACCCAACUCCGAUUGUUUUUUGUUCUUCAUAAUUUCUGAUUAUGAAGUUUUUAGCCAAUAUCGUGUUACCUGUGUCAUUUUAAGGACUUUUCUUCUGCAGAGUUCCAGUAGAUCAUUAGCAUUUCACCUCUGAGUCGUGGACGGAGACAGCGCUGCUCUGCACACUGGUCUUGACGGUAGCUUGCAGCCUAACAUUGCCGGUGUCGGAGAAGUGGCAGGUAACAGGAGUUAUUCAGUUCUCGGACUCUAAUGUCUUUAGGGACAUGAUGAAAGCUAAUAUCAUAAUUAGCUUCCUUACGAAUAUUGCAAACCGCUUACUCAAAUGCUUGUCCUGCGAUUGUUCUCUCUAUUUUUCUGAGUGAGGCCUGCAUAGCGGGGCUCCGGGGGUGGAGCUUGGGUUUGCUACGUAGGAAAUCUCACUGUUUUUUGAGCCUGCUGUUUGGGUCAUCCAGAAAUUCACAGCAGUUUGAUUGCAGAAAUACACAGAAAGGCAAUUUCACACUUAGUUUUCUCAUGAUACGUCCUGUAGCAUCAGAAAAAUGCCAUAUGAACAUGUAGACAACACGUAUUAAUUUUGAUCAAAGUGGGUCUUUAAAGGGUUGCAUAGAGCUUCGAAGGUUACGCACAAUUGUGCCACAAACAAGAUCGUCGUUGGAUUCAUUGAGAUGAUUUUUGUUUUUCCAUCAUGUUGUAUUCAUCAGGUUUUGAACUGCUCAGUUUCAAGUGAAGGAGUCGCAUUUCCUUUGACUCCAUUUGAAGAUUGUGACUUCACAUCACCCAGCUUUCAUAUUUCCAUAAGAGCUAAUCCAUCAUCUACCAGAGCAGCAGCUCUUACUUGCUUUGCAGUGAUCGUUUAUUUGGAAAUGUGUAAAUGUUGCUUUGACGGAGGCAGAGCUUUUUCUGCUCUUUAUUCACAUUCGUACAUUUUUUUUUUUUUUUUUUUUUGGCGGGAAAAGACCUUUUUCUUGGGCCAACCUUUAACUUGUUGAGGUUUUAAAGGUCCUCUAUCCGAAUCAUGCAUACCUCACUGCCACAACGGCAUUUCACUGCUGUCAGGAGAAAACCCUGAAUAUAAAUAACCUCACUCCUUCAAGGACAAAGAACAAAAACAACACCUCUUUUUGUCAUGAAAACUUAAAUUUCCCAAGAAUCUUCUGCCAGGGAAAACAAAGAAAAACCUCUUAAGAAGUGCUGUGAGCAGGAAAUGUCUUUUAAAGUAGUGACAGUGUAGUGUUAGUAGUAGCUGUAGUAAGACUGAAGGUUGUAAAGGAGGAUGUUAUAGAGAGGGAGAGCAGAUGUAGAGUACAGAGGCGGUAAAAGGGGGACAGAAAAACUUUGACUACCACUGUUCUGUAACAAAACUGCACCUUUAUUAUUUUAUCCAUGAUGGGAAAACCCCACACUUUAAGUUGUACGUGAUUUAUUACUGUAGUUGUGAGGGAAGUCUUCAGUAACUAUGAGGCAAAAAGAUUUAGAGCUCCCUCUGCUGGCUGGCUGCAGUAAAGGUUAUAAGCUUUACGUACUUGUGUUAACAAAGGGAAUCAAGGUCAUACUAAAGAAUUGAAAUACAUGUUAAAAAAAUUUUUUUUAAAUAUAUAUAAAUUUAUUUAUGCCCAGAUACUAUGAUAAAAAAGUUACUCUACCACUUUUAACAGUUUGGUUUCUCAGGUAAAUUUCAGUCUGAUACUGAGCGGUACACAGUAAGCCAGGGAAGAAAUAAUGGAUCAGCAUUUCUUCAGCUUUUUUUUUCUAUUUGGAUCAUUUCAUUGUGGAUUUAUUAUUCGCAUAAUAGUUUUUUUUCUGUAUUUAUGGUCAACGAUUAAGCGUCCUUGUGUAAAUCAGUGGAAAAAGUUAAAAAGCAGUUUUGCCUCAUAAAUUAUUGUUUCUCAGACAUUUUGGGGGCAAACUGUCUACAGAAGAAGGAGAGAUGGUUUUAUAAAGAAGAAAUGUAGUAGUUUAUAUCCUGAUAUGAUAUUUUCAUAUACACAAAACUCCUGUUGCGCCUGUGCUUUAAGCUAAAUUUGUUAUAUGACUUUCCUCACCAUUGAAUGUCACCCUCGGCCUAUCAUAAUACUAAUUUUCUAUUUUAGGCUCUCGCUCCGAGUCCUCUUCUUAAAUGAUCUCAGUAUAAUCCAUAAUUAAAUUCAUAAUAUCUCCUGCCAUUAACUCUGCUUCCUCUUUUUCAAGAUAGCAAAAGUAAUCAGCCAAGAAGCCGAAACACACUGACUCUCGAAUUUAUUACAUUAAAUUCAACAAAGAUUGAUUUUACACGAGGUUCAUCUCUUCUCUCUAUAAACAUGUGGACGUUUUAUUUCUUAAAUACUUUUUCUUCACAGAUUGCCUCAGCCUUUUUUUUUCAGGGGGGAGCUUAAGACCCCGCCGUCCCUGCCUCCCUCCACCGUUGGGUGAAUUCCAGCUACACACACAGACAGGCAAAGCAUCUCAGGGAAAGCUUGUAGGAAGAAGACUUAAGCCGUUAAUUUAUUUCAGAACAGCUUUGCAGAUUGUGUCCUGUGCACAGGACAGUAGAACAGCUUUCAAUUUUAUCUUCUCACAGAUGGCUGCAAGAAAAAAAAAAGACGAGUGACUGAAGAUUUAGCGGUGAGGGUGUUUUAUUUUAGGAAACUUUGAUUUAUUUGUGAACUGAAGAAUGAACCAUAAGUUAAAUGUCCAGUUUAGCCCUCACUAUUCUUUCUUUGUUUUACAUUAUCAAGCAUUUGGUGUUUGGAGGAUACAGAGACAAGAACAUUGGCAUUUCUUUAAUUAUUGUGAAGAAAUUCAACAUUUUAUUUGAAAGAGGAUAAGAAAAACAGACUUAACCGAGAUUCACACCACAUCCGGAACAGCUCUGAUCCAGAAUGGCAGCAAUUUUCACCGUAAGCCAACUCCUACCGGAUCUGUUUGUGAGGCGAAUUUUGUUGACAGCAGGAAUCGCAAGAACUCACAAGAACCAUGCGGAUUCAUGUUCAAUCGCGCGAUAACAACUUGUCUUUAGCUACAUAGGCUGACCAUAAGCAGUAGAUCAUUGCUGUAGAGGAGGAAAUCUACUUCUAGACGUCUAAAACCAGCAUCCUCUCAUCCAUGGUGUCAUCGGUAUGAAAUGCUGUCUAUUAACCUUUCACUUGUUCGUCUCCGCCCGUUUACUUGGUGUGAAAUACGAUCUGCCUGAAACACCGAGUGAUUUAUUUUGAAAAGAAGCCGGAUGUUUUUUUUUGUGUCUGUGCCCGACUUCCUUUCCAGCACAAGUCUGGCGCAGUGGAAUGGAAAGAAGUCGAUGGAAAUUGACACCUUUACUUGAAUAGUUACGAUCAGCUACAAUCGGCGGAUAUGGCCUUUUCGUAGCCGUUAUGGAUGAAGUGGAAAUUGCCUGUUAAUCUGACAAAACUACACUCUAACCUAUCUACGUUAUUGAUUCAGAACUGAGACAUUAUCAGGUAAUGACAGUUCAUGCUGUAAAUAUGCUGUUACAGUGUGUACUCUCAGCUUCAGUUUGUUAUUUUCCAAACUUUAAACACUGAAGAACAAUUCUUCAAUUUCCAAUCACUCAGUUAUUUAACCAGAUAAUAAAGGAGCUUGUCUUUGCGUCCUUACACCAUUGUGGGUGUAUUCAUUGGGCAUUAUUGGUGGUAUUUUGGCAAACAUUAAACACUUGAUUUUUGGUCACAAGUUUUAAGUCGACUUCGAGAUUCCCCUGGAAGAGGAAACACUGACAGCUAUCUGAUUCUCAAACAUCUGACCGAGCACAAAGAGGACCUUCUUCUGUCUUCAGUUCUCCUCACUUCACCUGCUCGUGUGCACUUUCUCAUGAGAAACACUGAGAACUUUAUAACUCAUCAGUAUCCAGAUUUUACUUGAUUCUUCUUUUUUGGCUUUCAUUCUAUACAAUGCAGCAGAAAUAUCUGAAUUUAGCAUUAAUCACGGAUUGUGUUUUGCAACCUUAUUCGCCACUUUGGCUUGUUUGCUGUUUUAUUCAGAUUCAGACUCUAAAAUGACACAUUGUUCCUUUGUUUCCCUCAGGUCGUUUCCUGUUCAUACAGCGUUAUUGUAAAGGAGGCCAAAGUACACGCCAUGGCCGGGCUGUCCUUACAUCACUGUGUCCCAGUUUCAUUUUUCCAUGGUGUAGGUACAUAGAUGCCACACACAAAGCUGCACUUUACAUAGUGGGAGGUCAGUGUCAAACACCGGGCGCUUAAACACGCCUUUAGAAAUGGUUUUAAACUCGAAUAGCAGAGGCAAUCACAAAAACAACAAUGACUCGACACAUCUAUCACUGUAUGACACGCACAACAGAAAUGACCCGAGUACAAAGUCAUAAAAGUAACAAGACAAAAGCAGGAACAUGACUAUCGACUAGCAGCAUCUAGUGAUUGACGUGUCUGGGACGGAAAGCGAAAGUAGAGACAGUAACACAAACAUUCAACAAACAGUAAACAUCUACUUGUAAGCACAUUGAAGCAGAGGUAACACUCAUUGUUUUCUUCUUUUUCUGUAUAUCUUUAUGAUCAUUUGAAGGUUAACAGUUGUUAAGUAUAGGCAGGUUAAAUCCAUUGUCAAUCCUGGUUUCUCAAAAAAUUCCAAGGCUAAAAAUGUUUGUGAGACGCUAUGUGGGAUAACUUAUUAUAAAAAAUAGAUCCAUGAACAUGUUGUUCUUGCCAUGUGAGAAAUGUGGCAUGUGUUUACUGAACAGAUUUUGGUUAGGGUAGGCCAUAGGUCAAGUCAAAGAUCUUUCCAGUUAGGAACGGUCAAUAGACAGUGUUUGGGCCACCCCACCACUUCCCACAAAAAGAACAAAAUACAAGUACAGACAGAGAUUUCUAAAAAGUUGGAUGAGUUGAGGCACGUAAGUUGUCAACUUGAGGAAAAAGUUGAGCCUGGAGUCACAGAGUGUACGUGUCAUUGAAAGACUUGCUGUUUUAAGGAGAAGAUCUUUGCAGGAGAAUCUGAGAGUCAAAGAGCUUGUAGAACAUCACAAACAAGAUUUAGUUAAGGCAAAAGAAAUACAUUCAUUGACUUGAUGUUUGAGAGAAGAUCUUUGCAGGAGAAGCUGAGAGUUAAAGAGCUUGGAGAACAUCACAAGUUUAGGCAAAAGAAAUACAGUCAUUGACUUGAUGCUUGAGAGAAGAUCUUUGCAGGAGAAGCUGAGAGUCAAAGAGCUUGAAGGACCUUAAAACGAAACAGCACUCUAAUUAACACUAUGCUGCGGUCAACGAGAUGGAUAAUGUGAGAAAUAGUGUCCCUGUUGCAUAUAUAGAAUACGUAGAAACCUCUUGGGCAGAACCCUUGAGCAUUUUUUAGCAUAUGAAAAAACUGCGUAUCUAAAAAACUUUAAAUCAAAAGUCAAAUCUGAUGUGAUGUUAGUGACAGAAAUUCCUAUUCAGAUCUUAUGAACACAGUCUCCCUUCAUUUGAAUCCUACCAGGCCUUAUGUUUCCCUAACACUCAAAUGAUCCGUGAAGAAAACGUGCAAACUUCUCGACUCGUCUGUGUGUUUCUGGUGAAAACCCUCCCUGGUUAAUUCAAGCCUUUUUUAUGUUGCUGAUUUGUUUUUAUCUUAAUGCAUUCUUCAAAAUUUUCAACAAAUAAAAAUAAAACCCCUGUUUCAUUCAUUUCCUGGGAAACACUGACAGAUUAAUAAUGUAACCUGAAAGCUUCUGACACAUUCAUCUCAAAUGAAAAGAGACGAGGUUGAAAAUUGGCAAAAAUGUUUACUCAAAACAAAUUAGCGGUACACAAAACCAAAUUUAUUGGUCUGCUCUCUGUGUGUUUUAUUUAACAGAGAUUUGAACUGAUCUGUAAAAUUCAGACAGAGCUCUUCCCUCUUUUCUUUCAUUGUUAUUUUCUGUUUUAAUCUUGUCCUUGUUUUCUCCUUAAGUGUGAGGUUGAGAAAUUUUGAGGUAUCAAAAAAAGAGACUCUAUAAAAAGAGUCAAGGAAAAAAGGGUAAAUUAAAAGGCCUUAUUCUGUUCAGUCAAGGGCAUCAAAAAUAAGAAAAUCCUUCAGCCUUUUUAUGACAAAAAGGCUUUUGCUGCAGCGUGUAGGUGUUUUUCAGUUUUUUUAAAUCUUGCGCUCAUGACAGAAGUUUAUCUUCAAAUUUUAUGUUCUUUCUGUCUCAGAAACAUAACCUCCGCCGUGUACUCGCUGACAAAUUUUUUAUUCUGUUAAUUAUCAUGCAUUUUAUCAGAAUCACAUUAUUUUAAGCCCUGACACAUUUACUUUCUUUAUUCCUCAGUUAUGUUGCUGUUGCGGUUUCCCCGGGAAGAGCUUGAUGAAGUGGCCGAUGAAGAGAGGAGAGUCUGGGCCUCCUUGCUUACGCUGCUGCCCCUCCACCCCGACUCCGGAUACGCGAUAAAGGAUGGAUGGAUGAGAAAUGAUUGUCACUUUAGGAGGAGCCAUGGUUGUACAGUAAGUUCUCCUCCCAGUCCUUUUGCUUUAAAAGCCCUCCAAAAAAUCUUUAAAUCAGUUGAUAACAGACUGUAUAUACUAUGGACAACUUGGUUCUGCCUUCCACUAGCUCUCAGUAUUUCCUUUUUUUUCUCCACUUCCUGAAACCAACAUUGAGCAGUAGCAUGGGUCGCACUCCACCACAUGCGCAGUAGUAGGGUGACCAUAUUCUGACUUCCCAGAAAGAGGACAUGACACCAUGGGGGCGGGGUCACAGAGUUGCGCUAAGUUAAUUUUGAUAGUUUUUCGGGUCGGAUUGAGUGUCUUUUAUGCGCUUCUAACUCAGUAAGUCCACGUGACACAAGAGUGAAAUUUAAGUACAAAACUGCGACCAUUUGAAGGAUUUUAUAAAAUUCCUCGGACAAAGCCGGACAAACCUGAACGGCCCCUAAAAAGAGGACAUAUCGGGGUAAAAGAGGACGUAUAAUCACCCUAGUAGCAGUAGCAUUGUACACAUUUGGCAGGAGAGUUGUGUGAUCACACUCGGUUGUAUCAAGUGUCAAUCAUAGAGGCAGGAUUCAUGACCUAUACUGCAGCCCGUCACCAGGGGGUGCUGUUUUUGAGGUGGCUUUACCCAGCGAGGAGGCAGAUGGCGUCCAUUCUGUAUACAGUCUAUUGUUGAUAAUAAUUAAUAGCGGUUAUGAUGUAAUGUGCUAUAACCGAUUCUUGAAAUUUACUUUGGAAAACUUUGUUGUAGACUGGUUCAGAGGCUUUUCAUAGACCCAGAAACACUUCUCUGAAACACCAAGAAAGGGUUUCAUUCCCUUCAAAAAGAGAUAUUAACCAUCCCUCUGGAGAAUUGGCUCUAAAGCAAGUUUCCAUAAGGUCAAGCUGUUGAGACAGAAAUUUAUCAGCUCUGCUUCCCCUUUCCGGAAACAUGGACACUUGUAAGGAGAAUACAGAUUGGCCCUUAAGUACAUAUGGAAAGUAGGUCAUCAGAUUUGAAGAUUGCAGGGACAAAUGGUGAUAUCAAGGAAUUAACGUUAAUGACAGAAGUAAUGGGAUUAGGUAUUUAAGGAUUUUAAGACCAAAUGUAUCGAGCACAUCUUUUGCUUUGUGUUCAAUCCACAUUUCAAACUCCCUCCUCCCUCUGGUCCCUUCGCCACUUCAUCUGCAAAGCUCUCAGUAAUCUUUUAAUAUAUCAGACCCCCCACACCUGCUGCGGCCUUUUGAAACUACAUGUACAAUUUCCCAAGGCUUGGCAUUUACUGUAGUUGUAUGAAUGUCAUUGGGGAAUGUCAGGUCACACAAGCUAAGCUCAAGAAUUAUAUUCUCUGUCUGUAUCGUUAAGUCCUGAGAGCUUACGCCGUAUAUGUGAUUCAUGAGCACAUGUGAAGAACAAUCAUUGCUUGUCAUUACAUAUCAACAAAAACUAAAAAAGUCAAAGGUUUACGAUUUGAAGAAUUUAUUUGUAUUUCAGUUGUCCACGUCACAUCAGCGGUGUUUGCGUGUGCCGUCGGCCAACCAUAAUUUCUAACAUGCCAGAAAUUCAUCGAUCUGGUUCGAUGAAUUCGCCAAUCAGGCAGUGAUCUAUCAGCACCCAAUCGAGUAGACUCAGUCCACUUGAAAACCAGUUGUGUAGGGUGACCAAACGUCUGGUUUUCCCAGGACAUGUCCUGAUUUGAUGCCCUGUCCUAGUAAUGAAAAUGUCCUAAUUUUCAUUGUUUUUCAUUGAGCCCCUCAGAUGAAGAAGAGAACUGAAGAUAUAUAGCAUCUCAUUGCCGGGUCGAGUCCUGGUUUUUGUCCAGGUUUUCAAAAUCAAAAUGUGAUCACCCUAGAGUUGUGCGAUUAAGAAAAUAAGUCAGAAUCUGCUGAAAUUUGAACAGUGUAUGUCUGAUCUAACGAAACCAUGAAAGAGAUGGUAAGAGUCUUUAUCUUAGGUUGCGUCUGGUAAUCAGGGUCGGUUUUCUUCGACCCAUUCAGGCUGACUAGAUUAGAUUAGAUUUGAUUAGAUAGAACUUAAUUGAUCCUCUUGGGAAGGUUUCCUCAGGGAAAUUAAAAAUGUAAGUAUUAGAUGAUGUAUGUCGUUAUAGGAUUAGUGACAGAUUUACAAUGAGAAAAUGCUUCGUCACACAUUGAUUAUCAGACGCUUUAGACUGAAAACAGAAGGACCAGGUGCCACACAUACAGAAACCAUUAUCUGUUAACUUUUUCUUCUUAUUAAUACCCUGUUAGUGUUACAUUGGCCGUAAAGACAGUGAGAUGCCCAAGGAUGUAUUUCAGCGGUGAACUCAAAGCCUGUAUCAUAGGGCGUGUUGAAGCGAUGACGGUGUGUAGUUGUAUUUAUUGAUGCCUGUGAAUACAGAGAUGUCCAGGGUUUAGCUCUGGAUUAAGGUUCAUUCUGAUAAAACAGACAGAUUCCAUCUUGCCAUUCUUCCGGUAAUCCCUGGCCCUCCUAAUCCCCCUCUGACGGUCCCGCUGAUGAGCUCAGGGGACUCGGCGGGAUUCAAUCGCACAUUUCCAACUCUUCAUCUGACACUCGUUUCAGCAUCUCUGCUGUCAGUUUCAUCACAGUCUUCCCUUUUUUCUGUGAUAUUGAUAUUUCUGUUCCUUCAUAUUCAUUCAAUCUUGAGGCUAUUUUUACUCAAACUGCACAUCUUUGAGCCGGAUUCUGUUUUGUUUGAUCUUCCAUUUUGCUCCGCAUCCUCCAAACUGUUUCCAUCCAUCAAAGUGGUUACACUAUAUGGGAGCAUAUGGACAUCUUUAUAGUGCUGGCCUCAGGUUAUUAAUGCAUGCAGUGGUGGGGGAAAGAAGAAAUCUGUCAUGUGCAGUCACUUGCGUCACCAGUCUGGAGCACAGAGGUGCUGUACUUGGAUUUGAGGAUGCUGUCACUUGUAUUGGUUUUGGGUUUAAUGAAAUCCAACGCUUUUGCCACUUUGGUUGGGUUUUGUGGACCUCCUAUAAGACUCUAUGAUCAAUAGUGUCAGCAUUGGAAAAGCCUAUGUGUCAUAAAAUCAAUCCUCUGCUUUACACAUACUUCUACUUUUGCAGUAAGUGUGUUUGCAAUUAUUGUUCCGACUUUGCAGAUAUGACAUCUCUUGGUUGUGAGUUAAGAUUAAGGCGUCAAAGGAAUUAGUGGAAACUUUUCAAACUUUAAAGAAGUAUCCUCGUGAAGCUGGCUCCCCACCCCGUGCAAAAUUUCUGGAAUAUAGUCUGUUCUGUUUGUGCUUCAGUUGUGUCGUAAAAAUAUUCAUUUGUGCUGCUAUGGUUUUGAAGUUAUUAAAUAUUAUUUAAAGCGUCUAAUUUCAAGGUCUAUUCAACAUAAAUGACACAAAGAUAUAGACUUCACUUUCGGAUCAUUACUUAUCGUUGUUUAGCCCCAUGAAUAAUAAUUAUAUGGGUUAUAAACUGUACAUUUCCGGGGACCACUCUACUAUAAACGGUGUGCAUUUCCGCAAGGUGCAUUAAGUUCUUGGCAGGCGUGCAAGGCACAAACAAACGGUUCCAUUUCGCAUUUUGGGUCCAUUUGGGGCAAAUGGGGGGUAUCGCCAAAAAUUUAAGUUAGUAAUAAUUUGUAACCAUAGCAGCACAAAUGAACAUUUUUAGGGAAUAAACCAACACAAACAAAGCACAAACAAACGGCACCAUUUCGGGUCCAUUUAGAGCAAAACGGGGGGUGGGUGACGUCCUCGCCAAAUAAGUGUGUAAUAACUUUAAAACCGUAGAAGCACAAAGAAAAAUUUUGCGGCGCAAAUGAAGCACAAACGAAACAAACUAUUUUCCCAAAAUUUUGUGCGGAUUGGGGGGCCAGCUUCACGCACGUUAAAAAAGUCCCACCUCAGUUUCUAACCUCAUUAUCCAAGUGGGCUUGGACCCUAUGAUACUGAAUUGAGAUGAAGAGGCAGAAAAACCUUGUACAUGGUGAACGCUUGCACUGGAAAAAGCCAAAUGGGCGGCAGUAGCUCAGGAGGUAGAGUGGUCGUCCAAUAAGUGGAAGGUUGGCAGUUCGAUUCCCCCCUAUCCCAAGUCUGUCCGUUGUGUCCUAGUGUGUGUCCUCCACUGGUGUAUGAUUGUGAGUGUUGUGUGGUGGUGGUUGGAGAGGCCAUAGGCACAAAAUGGCAGCCACGUUUCCGUCAGUCUGCCCCAGGGCAGCUGUGACUACUAAGGUAGUUUACCACCACCAGAGUGUGACUGUGUGAGCGAAUGAAUGAUGUAUCCAAAGUAAAGCGCUUUGAGGGUCUCUGAUAAAGCGCUAUAUGAAAUCUGAUGCAUUAUUAUUAUUAUUAUUAAAUGUUAACAGUUAAUAUUCAAUUAAAAGAGUUGAGUUGAAGAGUCAACAGUCAUUUGUGACAAUAAUUUAAAAAAUGAUGCUUGACUGGAGAACUUCCAGUCAUUUGGACUCCAUGUGGAGAACUUUGUGAUUGUAGGAUGUCUGAUUUGAGCAGCAGUCGGGAAAUCCCCACGGAGUCCAGACACUGAAGGUGGUGGUGGUGGUGGUGGCUGAUGACUUGUCAGGGCCAUGUGUAUGAUAAAUGAUGACUGAAUAUACCGCUGAGAGCAGGCGGAGACCGGGGGGUUGAGUGUGAUUGUCAGCAUGAAAGAAGUAGAGGCAGAGAGAGUCACGUUUAAAAGGAGAGCAGCAGAGUGAUAGGCUGACAGUGAGGGCGUGCCGCUGAAUAUGUUACAGACGAUUAACCAAUGACAGGCCCAGAAAUUGACAGCUGAAAAAGUGAGUGAGGGUGUGUGCUUUUGCUUCAGCUAUGGCACAUCUGCUGUUGAUGGUCACAGAAAAAGUUAAAGUUUAAAAAACAAGCCCCACGAGCAAACCGAUCUUGUCACCCAAUCAAGAUCUCGUCUUGGAGGACUUUGAGCUGACUAGACCAGAAACCAUCUUAAGCGAAAACUUGGGCUUGCUUAAAUCGACCUUUUUGGGCAGAAUUAUACUGUAUGCUCAACGAAGUGCGAAAUGCAGCGCUGAAACCAUCAAGUAAUUUACUCCUCUUUUAUAGAGAGAGUCUCCCAAAGGCAUAAAUCAAAGACUAUGUGACAUUAAUGAGAUUGCACAUUGACGUUUUAUCAUUAAGCUUGUUCUUUGUUCAAGCUGAAAUAAAUUGAACUCACACACUUUUUCAUGAAAUAUGCAGAAUAUCAAAGCGUUCUCCAGUUUUACAUACUUCUGCUCUUGGUUGUUAUUCAUCAGGGCUGGCAGGAGACAGAAAAAAACUGAGAGAGAAAAUUAAGAAUAAAAAAAGUUUAAAAGGAGCUUAGAUCAGUUACUGGCCCAAACUGUUACAACAUCACCAUUAAAUAAAGCAGAUACUGAAUGAUUUAAAUGUUCAGUUCAGAGUAUUUUGCAGAAUCACAGCCUUUCUGUGUCGUAGUCUUACUUGUUUACUAAUUUUAGCACCCCCAUUCAGUUUUACUGUUACUGCUCCUUUGUACUCGGUUAUUUUCAUAGUUUUUUUCCUCUAUUGUCUUGCAUUUCUGGUGUCAGGGGAGAGUGGGGGGGGCUGACAGGAAUGUGUGAUUCAUCUAACAUGUUUGUUUAUAUUUCCUGGUGUAACUUCAAAAAUGAAGUUGAGGGGGGAAAAUACAUCCUGUGGUUUUGAACUUUCACAGAAGCGGUCUUUUUAGGUGUAGCCUUUAAUGUUUGCACACAGAAUCAGUCUUUAUUGUUUUUGAAUUACUUGUCAAAUUUAAUUCAGUCAGUUGAACUUGACGAGAGAUUGCACACAGAUUAAAGCUGUUUGGAAAAAAAUGCUUUGGCUUAGAUGGUCCAUUUUUUGGUCACACUUUACAAUAACCAUAACUUAUAAAUGGUAAAUAGACCAUUUAUAAAUGGUAAGCAGAUAGUAAAUUAAUGUUUAAUCAUCAUUUAUGAAUUGCAUAUAGACAAUUAAUAAAUUGUAAAUUUUUCAAUUUGUAAAUUUUUCAAUUUAAAAAACCGAACCCUAAUUUUUAUAGGUGGUUUAAAUAAACAAAUAUUAAACAUUUACAAAGUGCUACUGAAACACAUUUUAAUCUAGAUGUUUAAAAACCAAUAUUUAAACCCUUUAAAAACCUUUAAUAAAUAGUCUAUCAAUAAUUAAUAAAAAUUAUUAAUCAUAAUUUCAUUGCUUGUUAAUGGUAAAGUAACUAUUAACCUAAAUUAAUAAACUAUCCAUUUGCCAUUUAUAAUUGGUCUAUAUGCUGUUUUUAUAUGAUUAUUCAACAUUAAUUAACUAUUUAUUUACCAUUUAUAAAAUAUGGUUAUUUUAAAGUGUUACUCUUUUUUUUUUUGUUAUUUUUCAGGGAUAUACUUUUUAAACAGAUCAGUAACUUGCAAACUAGUCUUAAAAUAAAUGUAAAAACUAAAAAUGAUGAAAUCAGGAUUGUGAUUCUGCCACACACAAAAAUCAUGAUAUGAUUUUUUUUCCCGUGUUUCUCGCCCCUAACUUGGCAGUAGUCCACUUUCAGUCCAGUUGUGAAUCUGUGGGCAAAACUGAUUGUGUCUAAAUCAGAGCAGCGCUGCCAUUCAGUAGAGAAAUCUGCCAUCUCUCUUCAGUGUUACUGCCUAAAUACUCAUUGGAAAUAAUCAAUCAGAGACCGCUCUAUCUCAGAGACCGCUCUAUCUCAGAGACCGCUCUAUCAGUUGGGCUGGUGGACAUCUGUAAAAGACACUGUUAAUGUCAUGUAACUAGACCAGAUUAGACAAGACAAGAAACUCAAACUAGAAAACUAGAAAGUGAUGUUUUUUUGCUUUUAUGACUACAAAUCCACCAGUCUGCUCUGAAGUGGACUGAAUGUAUUUUUAGAUCAACUGUGGGUUUGCCCACCUCUGGACAAAGCUGUGAAACUUCAACAGUUUUACUCUAAAAUCUAAACAUAAAUUCAUAACUACAAAAACCUUAGAGACUGUCUGCAGCAAAUUUUGAGUUGUUUUCUCAGAUUAAGUAUCUCCAAGCUCAAGUCAGACAUUGAUUUCUUGACUGCUUUUUUAAUGGCUUCAGUAACAUCACCACUUUAAGACUGGUCUGUAUUUGCAUUUUUCUUCAACAAGGAUAAAAUAUGUUUCCCAACCUCUUACAAAAAAAAGGUGCGCACUUCACUUUACAGUGUUCAACCUAUUCAUCACAUUACCUCCUUCACUCCAACUUGCAAGCCUACAGUGCAGAUUAGCAAGAUUAUAGACAGCUACAAAUAUGUCUGAAAAGGCCAGUCUCCUGGGAAAUAAUUCAAGUGUAGAAAUGGAAAGUGUUUGCUUCAUCUUGUUGGUGGAAAAAUGAGAGAGAACAAACUGCCUGAAAAAAGUGAAAGUCUUGUUUUGUAGUCCUGAUUGCAAUGAGAAUUUUUUGCAAUAUCAUUUUUCAAAAUUUCAUGUUUUUUAUUUUCUGCUCAGACAGGAUGAAAACAAAAUAAGGACAAAUUAAUGUUAAACAACAAAAACAACAAGAAAAGACAGAUAAAAAUACGAGUCAUGGAUGUCACUACAACAGCUGUGGAUGAACAUGAAGAGGAAUAUUUUAGUAAAAGUGAUACAGCUCAUGUAGCUGUAUCCAAAUACUUUGUAUAAUACCGGAAAUUUGGUAUAAAAGUGACACUAGUAUUCAGGGUCCAGUCUGUUACUUGGGGUCUUUCAGAGUCAUGCCUGACAAUCUCUGUUGAGUUCAGCAAUGUGCAGUUUCCAGGCAGCUGUGUAGUUCUUGUAUCAUUUUUUUUCGUGAAAUAAACCUUUAAAAUUUGAUCAAACCCAUAAUGUUCAUGUAUUUUUCAUUGUAAAUUUGCAUUUUUUAGUUUUAACAUUUAAUACAACAAAGUGGGAGGAUUUAGAUGAUAUGCAAAACAUCAAAAUCCGUUUUUACCGACAUUUUUUCAGUGUCCAAACUCAUGAUAUAAAGGUUGUAAUAAUCAGCAGCAGUUAUCACUCCAUCACCUCUGCAUGUGCUCACGCAGCCCCCUCAUUUGUUUUAUUGACUAACAGCACAGCAGGGGAUCAUCCUGCACACUGAUAUGGAGAUCACACUGCUCUACUCGCCGUCAGUCAUUCAUGUAGGUGCUAUUAUUAAAUCAAUGUAUUAUUAUAUUGUUAAGAUAUUUUUUGCUCUACAAUUUUUUGUGUCAUUGAUUUUUAUAAUACCAAGAACUUCAGAGUGAACUUUGUGCAGAUACACAUUGUCAACAAACAGCAGCAGUCUUGAGAGUUUGGUUUACCUGCAAAAAUGUCCCUGAAAUUAACACUCCACUUUGACGCUCUGCGUGCAUUGAUCACUGCCGCUCGCCUCAUUUUAAUUAACCUACCUCCAUUUGCCAGGUUAAUGAUCUGAUAGCACAUCUCUGUCUCCUCUCAAUCUGCCUCUGGUCUUCCUCGGUAGCAGGAGUGUAGAGCAGUGGAAGCAGGAAGGUUCAUUUUUUUGAAGAGAAGAGAAAAUUUCUUCCUCCCUUUGGCGAUCCUCGGAGCAUGGUGCCCCCUGGGACCUCCUCGCUCGCCCAUGUCUAAACAGCCGCCCUCAGAAACAAGCCUUCUCUUCCCAUUUUUAUUCCCCUUACAGUUUCUUGCUGGAGACAGAGGCUGUCAAACAGACUGAUGUUGCAUCAUGAGUUUGGAGCCACUGUAUAUUUUGUGAAGCUGGCUGAAAGGUGACGCUCCUCUCUCCAGAAGGGGGAAAAAUCAAAACAAGAGAGUUACUUCAGUCUUACUGUAGAUUUUUAUUUAUUUAUUUAUUCAAUGGAGGUGGAAUUAGGACAAAAAAUAGCUCUGAUAAGUGUCACCCAUGUCCACCUCUCGUUGGUCUCCCCUCUUCCCAGAAGUCUUCUCCGUGUGUUUGGAGGUCGUGACUCCACACCAUCACCCCCUCUUACUUUGAGAUUACUCACCAGUCAGAAAACUUUAUAAUGAUGCUACUUUUUCACCGUUUUUUAAAAGUUUUGAUUACUGGGUCAGUUUGUUUUGAGAGCUGCUCCCAUAGACACAAAAAUGACUGACAGCAAAGGAAUACUAAUGUCAAAACUGACAGAGCCCAUUCAAAACAAGCUAAAGUCAGCUUGCAGCCCCGCUGAACUCGCCGUCUCCAUGAUAGCCUUGGAGAAAAGUUGAUUUAUUACACCUUAAUGCAUAACUGAGAGCAACUUUGACCAACCUAACAAUCUUUGACUGUGUCUCGGUUUUGUUGUUUGAUACUGUUGUGACCCGGUGUCAGUUCUUCUUUGCUCCUUUAUAACAGUAGUUACCUCUGGCAGCCAUUGGAUAUCAAUUGCAGCUUUCUGUGCAAAGAGCUGGUUUUAUUUUUAAGGGUUAAUAGUUGCAGUGUCAAGGUAGUUUACUCAUGAUUACUGGCAAUGUUGGUAGCUGUAUUGGAUCAGUUCUUAUGUUCAUAUGAAUAUCUUUAAGUUAAAGGGAUAUUCUGAUGUAAAAUUAAUUUAGGGUCAAACACACCGUAACACAGAGUUAGACACCGUGUCGAGAGAUAAAUGUUGCUGACCGCUUGCUUCUCUAGUUAUAUCAACUUUAGUAACAACCACAGGAUAGCAAUACACAGCGGUCUGAGGAGCCAUGAACAAACCUCAACCAAAACGACACUCUAUAGCCACAGAUAAUACUCAGAACAGCACCUAACUUCUUCAACAGUACAUAUAGGGUCUUAGCCACAGCACUAGCCACUAAACGUCUUUUUAACUUUGACUAACUUUCUUUGGCAAAGAGACUAAACACAACUCACCUACUGUCUUCAGGCAGCUGCUUGUUUGUAGCAAGACCUCAGGCCAGUCUAUAAGGGACUGCAGCGGGGUGAUGCAGCUCAAAGAAGAACAUUUAUGAUAAUUUCUUCAUGGAAAUGCAAUCAGACCGAGACGCUAAGGCAGAAGUACAAUUGCGUCUGCAGUGCAAAAUAAUUAAUAUGGUGAUUAUUACAAGGAAAUGAUAAAUAAAUUAUCACUAAUCUUCUUCCUUGAGCUGCAUCACCCCGCUGCAGUCCCUUAUAGACUGGCCUGAGGUCUCGCUACAAACAAGCAGCUGCUGGAAGAGAGUAGGUGAGUUGUGUUUAGUCUCUUUGCCAAAGAAAUCAGGCAAAGCUAAAAAGAUGUUUGAUGGCUAGUACUAUGUCUGGGAAGCUAUAUGUACUGUUGAUGAAGUUAGGUGCUGUUCUGAGCGUUAUUUGUGGGUAUAGAGUGGCGUUUUGAUUGAGGUUUGUUUAUGGCUCCUCAGGCCGCUGUGUAUUGCUAUCCUGUGGUUGUUACAAAAGUUAUGGUGUGUUUGACCCUAAAUUGAUAAUAUGCCGGAAUAUCCCUUUAAAAAAAAAAGGAAGAUAAUUCCAGGGGCGUGUCCAAAAUGAUAAUCACGGGUGCCACUCACCCCUCAUCUGUUUGGUCCUCUGAUAAUAUAAAUCCAGUCUGUAUUGGCAUAUCUAAAAUCUGGGGUGGUAAUUUGUUCAAAAACAUCCUCAAGGCUUUUUCGACCCCUUGUCCAGCCAGAAUCAUAGAGGUUAGACUGAACAUAGUAAACAAAGCUUCUGACAUGAUUUUUAGUCGCUGUAUCAGAGACGCUCCCACAUAAAAAGCAAACUGAAGGUCUUCAAAGACAGACGACAGAGCAAGAGGUCUUUGAAUAUUUUCCCAAACUGUGUGGUUGUGCUUCAUUAUGUGUAAUUGCCUUUGAUGACAUGGUUCACCCAACACAGCAAUUACGAUGAGUGUCUUCUCCAGGAUUCAGGGCCUGUAAUUUUUUUUUUUCUCAGCAGCCAUUUCUAUUUGUUUUUUAAUGCAAGGUCGUCUUGGAUGUUUACUGGAUGUUCUACUUUUAUGUUAGGAAAUAUUUGAAUUGUGGAUUCUGUUUGUUCAUCGCAAUGACACCACACCAAAUACUGUCCUAAGGGGGUAAUAUAUAGAUUACCAGAGGUUCCCAGAUAAUACUGAUCCCAUGUGAAUAGAGCUUUAUUACAAACACACACUCAUCUGACAUGUAUGGAGGUUUCAAGCUUGCCUCUUUUUCCUCACACAAUUCCUCAGCUCCUUUUCGCUCUCUUUGAGUCAACACUUUCCCUCAGUCUGCUGUCAGUCUCAUAACUGUUUUCUGCCACCAGGAGUCAAUCUUCCCAAACAGCUCCAUUCUUCUUGUUGUUGUCUCUGAAAUGGCCACAAAGACUGUGAUGUCUUUGGCCACAGGUUUGAAGAGGUAACAUGAGUGGCACCUCUUCCCACUGAAUAUAAACCUCAUUAUAUUUGUUUGCCUGAUCCCUCACUUUGAAGGGACUGCACUCCAAUUCACCCCGCCAAUGUCAUGAUUCAGUCUGCAGAGGACACCGCAAUAAUUGGACCAAUUAGCACUCAGCGCCCCCAUAGACCCAGAGCUUUUUUUUUUCUUUUUGUCAUGUCUGUUUGCAGAGUUUUUUUGCAAUUUUCCUUUCCACUCAAAUUUAUUUCUCAAACUUCAGUGAUUAAAGUCAAGAUUUUUAUUUAUUUUUUUCAGAAUUUGAGACUUUUUUACCCUCAGAAUUGAGUUUGAAUUGAGAUUAAAAAGUCUAAAUUAAAAAUCUAAAUAAAAGCUAAAUAAAAUUCCAAUCUUUUCUCCAGAUUUGAUUUUUUUUUUAUUUGAAUUUGUGACUUUUUUCUCAGUGUGCUAAAUAUUUUUCCACAGAAUUUGGACCUUUCUUAAAUUCUUGGAACUUUUCUCAGAAUUUGUCACCUUCUAGGACUUCUAAAUUUAAGUCUGAAUUCUGACAUUUUCUCAGAGUUCUGGCUACUUUCCAUUAUUGGUGACUCUUUUUGAGAUUUUUGCCCUUUUCUCUCAGAAUUGAAACUUUUUUUAAUCAGAAUUUCAAAAUUUGUGAUUUGGAUUUUGGAAUUUUUCACUUUUGCCUCAGAAUUCUAAAUUUUUCCUCAGAAUUCUUACUUUUAAAAAAAAGUGACAUUUUCUCAGAAUUUGUAAUUUUUUCUCGGAAUUCGUAACUUUUUCUUAGAAUGUUGACUAUUUCUCUUUAGGGCUAUUUGUUUUUUUUUCUCAGACUUGUUACAUUGUCCAUGAAAUCAAGCUGUCAGAAUUCGGAGAAAAAAAGUAACAUUGUAAACCUUUCAUUCUGCCUUUUUCUCAGAAUGUUGAGUUAAAAACUGUAUUUCCUCUUUUUUUUGUAACCCUUUAAUGCCUGACACCACAAAUUAUGGCCAGAAAAUUCAAAAUUUUUGGAGCUGAAAUGUUUAUUUCACUUACUACUGAAAACCAAAAAAAUCAAAAUGUCCUUAAAAUUUAAUUUUUUCUUUAUCUCGUUUGAUACAUUAGAUGUUUUUGGGAACUAAUAAACUACAAGAGCACAUUUAUCUUUUAUCGGACUGUAUUCAGGUGUUUUUUUAGUAAUUUGUUUAUCAAAUUAAUUUGAUAGAAGUAUAUAAAAGUAUGUAUCAAAUAUGAUACAAAAGGCAUUAAAGGGUUAAGAAUUCUGACUUAAAUCACAAAAUCUGAGAAAAAUGUCAUAUUAAAAAAUAAGUUUUAAAGCCUUUUCCUCUUUGUGGGAAUAAAGGAUUAAAAUUGUCAAAAAAGAGAAAAGAAAACAAAGGUUGCAAUUGAGUUUACUAAAUAUUGUUCUUUGAUUGAUUCUGAUUCUUUAUCCCUGAUAGCACGAAGCACUAGAUUAAAAAUGUACAGGUCGAGCAGACACAGAGAAUCACUUCUGCCUUGAAAAGUUUGGGUGUUUUAGAUGUUGUAUACUCACAGCCUUCCUGGGCUUUAAACAGCAGCGGUCUUGGCUGCAACUCUUUUAUCCGUCGAUCAAUAAAACAUACUCUGCUCUUGCAACAGGUUGGUACAUUUCCAGGAUCAAACGCUUGCCUUCCCAGAAUGAUGUUUCAACCGAAGCCCUUUGAUUCGACAAGUACAACAUCCAGGUCUCACAGAAGUAGAGACAGAGGGUUAGACAAAAUAAUGUGAAUACAUGAAAACAAGGACUCUGUUGACAGAUCCCUUUUUAUUCACAGCAUUAUGCUCUUUAUUGGCUCACCCUCAGAACAUAAGCUGUCCUUAUAUUCUCUGAUACAUGUACCAGAACUUAAAACUCGGUCUGGUGUUUUCUCAUGUUAUAAGUAAAUAAGUAAUGACGUAUUGGGCCUGUGACAUCAUGUAGAGCCAGAGUCUGCCCAUGAGGGAUUAGUUAAUGGCGCCCCAGUAUUGACGUCCCAUCCUUUUUCAAACUAAAACUCACUCAUCACAUGGCAAAGAUCCCUCAGGUUGGUUCAGUCCACAGCAUAACAACAUCACUAUGAAGCAGACACCUCACACUUAUGGGAAGCUUUAAAGCUCCUGUAGGAGAUUUUUUACCGGCUCCUGAACAGACUGAGUACAACAUUGAUGCAACUUUAAAACCAUCUGCGUAGGAUUUGAGUGUAUCUAUCUGCUUAUGUUAAUACCUGAAACUGCUUCCACCUGUUAGGCAUCAGACAACAGCACACUGCGGAGACAGCCUUUAUUUUUUAUAAAGCACAAACUAUUACAGAAAAUUUUUUCAAGUGCCUAACAACCAUGCAAACUCUGAAAUUGAAUGUUCCACUCUGUUUGGAGAAAAAAAAAAGAUCUUUCUGCGCUUGGGAAAAUAUUUGAUUACCUGAGUAAGUUUCCAGGAGAGACGGUGGGACAGUAGCAGCAUUAAAAACAGACAUGGGGCUGAUUUAGCUAAUUUGUAAUAGACCUCAAAAGCUCACAAGCAUAAUCACAAACCUACUCAGAUUUGUUUCAUUAGCUUCUGAACUCAGUGGUAAUAUAACAUGGGGCAAAAACAUUGUGUUAUAAGUGGAGUGGUUGCGUAUUUUUUAGGUAUGUCAUUAAAGCUCCAAUAAGUAAGGUUUCUGUUGCUUGAUUCUGAUUGGUCAAAAUGGUAAGAAAAAGUGACACAGGGUAAAACACACAGACUGUAUAUACUAUGGACAACUUGGUUCCCUCUUCCGCCAGUAUGCAGAUUUGAAGCCAAAAAGCUCUCUGUAUUUCCGUGUUUUUUCUUCACUUCCUGAAACCAACAUAGCGCAGUAGUGUUGUACGAACCCCACCACCUGCACAGUAGCAUUGUACACAUUCGGCGAGAGAGUUGCUGUGAUAACGCUUGACUCAAACAGCAUAUUUCCCGGGUGAGCUAUGCAGUACUGCAGCCCGUCACCAGAGGGCGCUGCAGAAAGAGUUGAGGAUAUUUCACCUCUGCCUGUUGACACCGUGGCAAAUCCGUUCAUUUCCAUUGGCAUCCUAAAAACAUAACCGUAUUUUUCACACGAUAAGGCGCACCGAAUUAUAAGGCACAUUAAGCCAAACAAAACAGUCAGAUAAGUCAAACUUUAUUUAACUCAUUCAAUAACUCCGCAGGGCUACCGUAGCUGCAGUCCUGCGACAAGCCAAAAAGGAUUUUAAGUGCGCCUUAUAGUGCAAAAAAUACGGUUAGACAAAAUAUUGUAAAAAAUACUACAUCACAAAAUAAUUUCUAGGUUUCUCAGGCUGGUCUUUAUUUUUACUAAUUAAUGAUGGUUUGGAGGAGUAGGAGUGAAUAUCUUGUCCUGCAAUCCAUGCAUGGUCUGAAUUUAACUCUUCCGUGUUCUUUGCAUUCAGCAUCUAUGAAAGGAAUGUGUCCAGCAGCUGAACUUGCUUGUAUAACAGCUUACAGAAAUACCUCACAGCUGGGUUAAGCCUUUGCCGAUCAAGAACAGUAACCAGUAUCAUAAUGAAUUCAAGGUUUUUCUUUUGGGCAUGUGUGAAAAAUGGUGUUUUCGAAGUACAAAAGAGAGCUUUUUACAUACAGAAAGUGUGAAUGCAUGGAUCUUUUGUCUGUCGCAUGUCCUUGACUGAAGAAACUCCCCCAAUUCAAUGAAACAGCGAGGUAGUUUUCACAUGUAUGGCUUGCUCGCUUUGUUGUGAUGAAAAAAAAAAGAUCAAUUUUUACAUUUUUCUGAAUCCAGCUCACCCUGCUGGGAUUUAAAUUUGCAAACCCACCCAUUUAUUAUACCUUCUUCUACCUGUUUGUCCACUUUUGCAGCUUAUAUGGAGGGGUUAGGAGUGAUUUUAGUGUGUUUUAUUACCAGCUAAAAACUCCUUCUGCAGGAGCUUUAACUAAACAUAAUGUUUUUGUCGAUAAAGUGCAUCAUCUUAGCUUAUUUUUUAAUCAUAUUUCAUUAAGAGAGAGAGAAAUAAUGUGCAGAGUCAGGUUAAAUCUGUGUCAGUCAGCUGUCGUGUCCUAGAAACCUUUGACGUCGGAGCUGGGAUGUUGUUGAUCUGGUUGUUCUGGAGCGGAUCCAGGUCCCAGAGCAGCUUAGGCGUGUCAGGCUCUACCUGCAGCCUCUGCCAGCUCCCUCACAUAACAAAGUUAACAGAAACACACACACGCACACACACACACACACCAGGAUGCUUUUUGUGUUGGUUGGUGCGGUACAUGUUCUUAAACAUGUUUUUAAAGCCACACCUGAUCAGAAACAAAUGUUCGUGUGAUAUCUUGAUUCUCUCGCGCUUGAUUUUGAACUUCUCAUCACCUCAAAAGUGUCGUGUUUUGACAGCUGCUACAUCUAACACCACUGUCCCAGCAUGACCAGUAAGACCAUAAUCAUUUCAUUUUAUCCGUCCUAAUGAUUAUUCAUGUUAAUCCGGCUUGUUGGAAUCAAACAUUGCCAUGCUUACUCUGGAAAUCAUACAAACAGGAGCCGUUUUAUUAAAACCCCCCGUAAUGCUGGUUUGAAACGUGCACAGCUAAUCGUUAGCAUAAUUUAAACAGUCCUUUGACCAGAUUGCUCUUUUUUUUUCCAGUAAGGUUGGAUUCAGCAGAAAUUUUAUUUUAUAAGUACUUUUUAAAAAUAUUUGUCCCUGAAAUUGUUCAGAAGUGAUAAGAAUAAACCUUUUUUUUCUGUUAUUUAAAAAAUCUGUGAAAAGAAACCGCUGAACACAAAUAUUUUAUGACCUUUUAAAUGUUGUAAUUUUGUUUUCUCCCCUCCGGCUCCCUUUGAAUUUACUGGUGCAGCUUGAAAACCUUACAUUGGCAUUAUUGUAAAUCAAUCCCCUGACCUUACGAUCAGACAUUUACCCUUCGUUUUGCCAUUAUUGCAUUUCCUUGACCUCCUUCUGUCCAACAACUGUGUGUGUGUGUGUUUAUUACAUUAUGCGUGCAUUAAUAAGCUUAAUGGGGUUAUGCAGCUUUAUUGUCAAAAAGGUUAACAAACAACGAGGAGGGUCAAACGCUGAACCAAGCGUUGCAAUUUAAGCUGUGGUCACUGACAGAGGAGUCCAGCGGGAUUUCACUUUGAAAAUUAGGAACUUAAACGGACGAAGGUGUUUUGUUGCCCUGUGCGAAAGAGAUUAAAAUGUCCGUAACUGGAGGCGUAUUUCAUUUAGCACCCUAAAACCAACAAGAACCCCCUUCAGGCGACUCCCUUAUAUAACCCACAACCCAAAAGGAAGCAGCUUUUGUUUUCCCUCCCAACAGAGGUUACUUUAAGGGUUUUUUUUGGCUGUACCAACAGACAAAACAGUCCUCCAUCAUCUAACCUCCUUUGACCUCAGUAUCCAUCCCCCGGGCAGGAUGUCAGAAUGGUUCACUCCUAUAAAUACACCAGGGUCCACCAGGCUGGGAACACAGGGGGUGUUGGAAAAGAUGCUGCAGAUGCUCCGCCGGUCUGUGGUGACAGUACUUGAGAAGGUGCAGAGAGACCAGAGCGGUGAUUGAAGGAAGAGUUUAGCUCAGGUGUGUGGAGGGUGACUCAGACCUGUUUAGCUGAAGUGUGGAUUUAAGUGGACAGAGAGGAUACCGAGGUCACAUACUGGACUCACUUGUUAGACUUUGGAGCUAAAGCUAUGUUAGCCAGCUAAAACAACCAGCGUCACCUUGGCUCCUGCGACUACAUCAGAGGAUUAGUGCAGCUCAUCUUUUUUUGAGGGGUUUGACCUUUUUUCCUCAGAUUUCUCAGGAUUUUAGAAAAAAAAAACACUUUAAGAAAAACGAUGAGAUUUCAGAUUUGAUCGUUUUAUUUAUUUUAUUUUAUUUUUUAAAGAAUUUCUGACUUUAUUCUUUACAUUUGGAUAUCGCUUCAUGGUGCAGAAUUAAAAAAGCCUUUCUCUUUAAUUUAUUUCUUAUCCCUAGCCUUGAAACUUUCCUUUAAGUUUUUACACAAUUUAGACUUUUUUUCCCCUGCUGAAUUUAAAGAAAAAAUUCAGACUUUUUUCCCCUUAUGUCUGAGAAAAAAAUGUCUGAGUUAAAAUGAAAAGUCCCAUAAACUCACACUGUGCUCAGAGGAUUAUCUAAAAAAAAAAUCUUGGGAUUAUUGAACAGUAAAUGCAAUUCUCAUCAAUUUUUGCCCUGAAGAGGAACUGAUCUGUAAAUCUGUAAAACAUGCCUGGAAAUUCCCCUGAUGGGCUGCAUGUGUGAACACAAACAGUUGAACUUUUAACCUGACUUUAAACAGACUUUUUCCUCUCAGAUUCCCAACAGUAAAAAGUCAGGGUGAUUUUAAGUGAGACAAAUUGUUGCCAGACUCCAUCCCAUCACUCGCCAUCUUGAUUAUAUUGCAACUAUUUAACUGGGACGUCCAAAUCGUCCGUGCCAUAUCCUGACAAGACGGUAUCUGAAAUUGGAUUUAAUAAGCAAACAUGGACUGUGACGUCAAAAUUUUGAUGGUACCUGCCAACUAGAUAUCACUUUAUAUUCUGAUUUUUACAUACUGUACCUUUAACAUGGAGCAUUAGUCAAACUAUAACAUUAAGAAACAUCUCUAACAAAUUGUUCAAAGGGGGUUUCUGUCAUAUUAGGUAGCUAUAUUUGUUCUCAAUAAGUUAUUUAAGAUUCUGACCCACUGUAGGUGACAUUUUUUUGUAGGAUUUUAGGGGACAUUCCCGCCUCCUUUGCCUCUGAUUGGCUAGAAAAGCUGAAAACAUCAUCGUGCACUCAGGCCGAACGCUGGCUGACGGCUCUGUACAUCGAACAGAACAUUAUCGCACUUCUGAAUCUCCUAACCCUAACCUGACAGACGAUGACGUUUCACAGCCAUAAGGAAUAACCAAUCAAAGCCCAGCACUUCUAGCCAAUCAGAGGCGAAGGACGGCAGGACCUACAAAAAAAAGUUCACCCUGCUGUAAAGCGGUUCUUGUUACCAGGUAGUGUGACUUCAAUACGGCACUUUUUUGCACACUGCUGAACUCAAUAUCUUAGCGCCGAUUCAAACAUUAUACGCCCUCACAUCUCACCAUGGGAAAAGUAUGACAGUGUGGUGUCAACGCAAGUUUAUGUACAGUAUAUUCUCCUGCCUCCAGACCAACAGGAGAUAUCUUCCACUGUGGUGGACAUGUGUGAAAGGAAAUAACAUUAACUAUGAGUCUGAUACGUGUGUAAAAACUAUGAGAUCUGAUUAAAUUUACCUAUUGCCUUUGAGGAGAGGAAUCAGAGGUGUAAAAUGCUCAUUUUUCCCCACAGCUCUGUGAUGACCUUUUGUCCCUCCUCGCCCAGUUUAAUAUUUAAAACCCCUGAUGUGGAUCUGUUGGUGUUUUCUCUGUUUGUCUCCUCUGUUUGUCCUUGUUCUGUCUGACUGCUGCACACUCACAGGUAAGGAGAGGUGCUGGCACAUGGAGAGGGUGAGAGAGAAAAGCCUUUAACACACACACACACACACACACACACACACAGACAGUAGAUCUGCUCCACCAUCUUCACCUGUAUGACUGUGAUUAUGAGGUAAAUGUGUGCAUGAAAUGUGUCGCUGCAUAUUUUGUCUCAGUUUAAACAGUCAGUGUGUGACCUCCACUCUUCUGGGGCUUUAGUGAUGUAACGCUCGUGGCCAUGGGGUGAGAGACUCUCCGCUCUUAAAGCAAAAAUAAAUCCCCACUGUCAGUGGAAAUAUCUUAUUCUGAUGGCUUGAGUGUUUGUCCUGUUUUGAGAGAUUAUCUUUUUUUGAAAAUAAACUGUUUAUUAGCAGCUUUUGGCAAUUUCCACUCUCCUCUUCUCCUGAUAGAUCUUUUGUGAAUGGAGGAGGGUUAAUGCUUUGGACUUUUCCAUUAACUGUCUUUCUAUCCCUCUAUUUUCCCUUCAUAAAAAAAUGAAAUCACAAUACUACCCUGGUGGAGGCUGACUUAAUGCAUCGAUGACGUAUUUUGAAGCUUAUAUAGGAAGCUUAUUUUGGUUCUUAUGUUGUUAAAUUGAUUGUUUUUUUAUGGUUUGUCAGCUGGUUACGAUCAGUGAAAGCCUGUAAGGCAGAGAUGAAUUCAUUUCAUUAAGCUGCUGUUAAUCUUUACAGUUAAAACUUUUCAGCUAUAUUGUGAAAGCCAAGGUCUUUUUGUUCGUAAUGUAUUUUGAAGCAAAGGCAGAAGCCAUCUGGCUCCACUGUGACGUCAUACACUUCCUAUUUGCCGAUCAAAACAUACAUUUAGCAUGCCGAUACAAAAUCAAAAAUGUGCUAGUUCAUAAAAAACAAUCAGUAAAGUAAAAUAUAAUUUCAAUGUUUUAAAAACUAUUUAAACACAUAGAAACAAAUAACUAAAAACAGACCAUAAAACACUAAAACAACAUCAAUACCUGCUUUCAUGUUAGAGUCUCUGAACUCCAGAAAAAGUGGCUAGAUUUGUCGCUAGACACUUUUUUAAAAAUAAGAUGCUAGGGGGUUCUGAGAGUUGUUAAAUCCAUCAACAAAGACCAUAGGUUGACAACACUGAGGUGUUUGCUGCGUGUUUUCUGUUCAUGCCGUUGUUUUGGCUUUUUUGCCAAAUGUUUUCUCUUCCAUUUGCAGCAUGUUUCCUGUUUUUUGUAUGUUUGUUGGGCUGUUGCAUGCGUUACUGAAGAUGUUCCAUUUCUGCAUUUGCAGCAGGGUUACUCCUGAUGAAAACAGCAUCCUUUUUACUGUUGUGUUGUCUGUAUUCCCACCUCAGAUGGGGUUCCUGUGAAAUUUUUGCCACAACCGUACGGGCUGUCCCGAACCCUGAC